rnacentral:lncRNA from 1 species
UUUUUUUUUUUUUUUUUUGGUAGUGAUAACGUAUCUGUGGCCUUACCUCCGAAUAAAAUCGAUUGCUUUAUACUUUCUGAAUUGAUAUCAUACCUAUUAGGAAUUCUUUUUAAAAGUCAACUUAUAGAGGAAAAAGGAAUUAUAUUCAAUGAAUAACUAAUGCUCCUGAGAAAUCUAACGUAUAUAUCAUGACCUCGGUUUUAUGCUUAUCAUGAUUUACUGUAUUUUAUCCAAAUUAAAAUAUCUUAUUCCAAGACUCCAUAAACUCAAAAACUCCUUCAACUUUAUCCUUUUAUCCAGCAACCAAAUCAUAUAUCAAUUCGAAAACACUUCAAAUUUAUUCUCACAAGUCUAACCAACUACCACUCAUAAUGCUUAUAAGUUAUCCUUAGUAGAACAAAUCCCCAUAAAUCAGUCCUUUAUAUUACUCAGAGCUCUUUAAUUUUAUCACUAACAAAAUAUGGCUGACUCAAUGGUGAAAAAUCCUAAUUUUGGAUUAUGCAAUUUCACUUUGCAAUUCCUACGUGGACGUUGGUUUAUGAUGUUUGCUUCAUUCUUGAUUAUGGCUGGAGCAGGCGCGACGUAUUUGUUUGGUGUAUAUUCCAAAGUUAUAAAAUCGACUCUUGGAUAUGAUCAGUCCACUCUUAAUCUUCUUGGUACGUGCAAAGAUUUGGGUGCUAAUGUUGGGGUUCUUUCUGGACUUUUAGCCGAGGUAACACCAACUUGGUUCGUUCUUUUAGUUGGAUCAGUCAUGAAUUUUGCUGGAUAUUUUCUUAUUUGGCUAGCCGUGACCAAAAAAAUUGCAACACCUAAAGUAUGGCAAAUGUGUAUUUACAUAUGUAUUGGUGCUAAUUCUCAGAAUUUUGCUAAUACAGGUUCACUUGUUACAUGCGUUAAAAAUUUCCCAGAGAGUAGAGGAAUGAUGUUAGGUUUAAUGAAGGGUUUUGUAGGGUUAAGUGGUGCAAUUUUCACACAACUUUAUCUUGCUAUUUAUGGUAAUGAUUCUAAGUCUUUAAUUCUUCUCAUUGGUUGGCUUCCUGCUUUGCUUUCCAUUCUUUUCAUCUUUAACAUUAGGGAGAUGAAAAGUUCUAGACAUCCCAAUGAGGUUAGAGUCUUUUACCAAAACCUUGCUAUCUCAAUUUCCUUGGCUUUGUUAUUGAUGGGGUUAACAAUUUCCCAAAAGUAUCUUAAAUUCUCACACAAUGCUUAUGUAGCAUGUGCCACUAUUGUUUGUGUGGUACUUUUCUUGCCAUGUAUUAUUGCAAUAAGGGAGGAGUUUUACACUUGGAAAUUGAAAAGGAAAGAAAUAAUGCAACCCCCUACUAAGAUUAUUGUUGAAAAAACCCAUUUGCCGGUGUCAGAAAUUGUGGAGUUGGAGAAUUUUUCUAUGGCAAAAACACAAGAAAAGAAUGAAGUUGGAUGCUUUAGUAAUAUUUGCAAUAAGCCAAAAAGGGGUGAGGAUUAUACCAUAUUACAAGCCCUUUUAAGUGUGGACAUGUUAAUUCUAUUUGUGGCCACAUUUUGUGGACUAGGGUGCAGUUUAACAGCAGUGGAUAAUUUGGGUCAAAUUGGUGAGUCCUUAGGUUAUCCAUCUCAUACAAUUAGCACAUUUGUGUCCCUAGUGAGCAUAUGGAACUAUUUCGGCAGGGUUUUCUCUGGGUUCGUCUCUGAAAAGAUUCUCUUGAAAUGGAAAGUCCCACGCACGCUGAUGAUGACCUUCGCUCUACUCUUACCAAGCAUUGGCGACCUCCUCAUUGCCUUCCCAUUCCCGAGUUCAGUUUAUGUGGCAUCGUUGCUGAUAGGCUUCUCUUUUGGUAUCCAGUUGACGCUUCUUUUUAUCAUAAUAUCAGAGCUCUUUGGAUUGAAGUAUUAUUCAACGUUAUUUAAUUGUGGACAAUUGGCUAGUCCUAUUGGAUCAUAUGUGUUGAAUGUGAAAAUUGUGGGCAAACUUUAUGAUAAGGAGGCAUUGAAGCAACUAGCAAGUAAAGGUUUGACAAGAUCAAUGGUGAAAGAACUGGUUUGCAUUGGAAAGCAAUGCUAUAGGAAUUCUUUUAUUAUACUUGCUUGUGUGAAUGCAUUUGGAGCUCUUGUUUCUUUGAUUUUGGUAUGGAGAACUAAGGAUUACUACAAGACUGACAUUUACAAAAGAUUUAGGGAUGAAAUGGAAGCAAAUGAAAAGGAGAUGAAGAUGGUUGCUCGAAAAUAGGUAUUGAUUUGAAAGUUGAAGGGUUUGUCUUGUGAAAUUCAAGAAUGAGUUAUACUUUAAAAAUUACUCGAGAGAAACGUAUUUUUCAUUCUAGUUUAGUUUUCUUUUUUUGGUUCUUUUCAAAUGAUUGGUUAAAUUUGUUUUUGUUUGAUUUCUAAUGAUACAAUUGUGAAGGAGUUUAAUUCUACAAUAUCCAAGUUCUUGAAUCCCACUGCCAAUGUUUAUUUACAUUUCAUUUAGCAUCCUUUAAAUUUGUUUUUCUUACGUUCUACUUUGCAAUUUUAUUACUACAAUUUUUUUCGGAUUUAGUGUAACUCUUUUUUUUAGUUCUUGCUAGACUUUAAUUUGUACAAGUGUUUGAGAAACACCUUUUCAAAACCUUUACAUGGAAUCAAUAUACAAACACUAGAAUACUACAAUAUUUGGCAGCACUAUAUUCCAGCAUUUUUCUCACUAUUUUAUACAUAUAUCUUUAAUUGAGGGCUUAUUAAAAAAAGAGGAUAUUUCAAUUUACAUUAUUAGCUCUAAAGUUAUAUAGACUUUUCAAGAACUAAUUGAGCAUUUAAAUUGGUUGGUUUAAGAGAAAUGGUGUUUUUGGAUAAAUUUAUUUUAAAAAACUGAUUUUGGAUUAUUUUUUGUUUUUUUGUUUUUGUUUCUGGAAAUAUACCACAAUAGAUGCUGUCUCUUUCACUUUCACAACAUGAAUCGUCAAUAUUACUUAAUUUUUAAUGGUUCACUUACCAAUGAAAGAACUCUUUUUGUUUUUUCCCCUCAGAUGUAUACAUUUUAUGGCUUUUAACUAUCACCAUCAUUGCUUUUAUCCUAAUAUCAGUAAUUUAUCUGAUUAUUAUCAAUCAAUCUAUAAAAGGAAACUAUUCAAUACUGACAAAUUUGCCAAUAAGUUUCCAGGUGCUAGUACUCGAUUAACUAGAAAUAGAAACAUUAUCAAUAUGUACAAGUGUGUAGAACGACUAAUUACUAAUGGGAACAACAGAAGCUUUAGAGGUUAAAUUCUACUCAUUGUAUGAGUUUAUCUAAACACGUCACAUCCAAAUUAAAGUUACUUAGGAGCCUAGCUAUCACUUUAUUUUAGGCUAUUUAGCAGGCAAAUUGUCAUAUUUUGACUGGAUCAUAAUAUAAGAGUAGGAUUUUGCAAAAUAUAAGGAAUAAUUUGGUAAAUAUCGAAUUACUAUAUCGAAAUUGAAUUUUUUGGUAUUUGGUAUUUUGGUAUUUGAUUUACAUUUUAAAAAAAUUUGGUAUUAAUUAUGGUAUUUGAUAUUUUUUUUAAAUACCGAAAUACCGAUACCGUACCGAAAUAUAUAUUAUGUAGAUUAAUUUUAAAUGUCCUGUCAUCCUUGCAACCUGCAUUUACAAGAGAGCUUAAGGAGAAUGUUUCUAGUUCCAUGUUCUUUAGUUAAAGUCCGUGCGUCAUCUAUUUUUGUCUAUGUGGUUAAUGGAUGUUAACCGAAUGAUUUCUGUAAACAACACUUGUGAAAAACUUAAUUUGGUCACAUUUGAGAAGCUUACUGGUGUCUGGUAUAUCACGGAGAUGCAAGUUAGAGCUUUAGACCAGACAUACUUACAUGUUGAUGAAGUUUGUAAACGUUAUUCUAAUCUUAUGUUGUUGUUUAUAGAAGUCCAAUAUAUGAUGUGUAGUGUUGUUGCAUUCAGAUUGAUUUUGCUGGCUAGUUAAGGUGUUAUUCUCCCUUAAAUAUAACGUUCAAAAGUUGUUUUAGAACCGAAUAAACCGAAACCGAAAGGCAAAAAAUCGAACCAUACCGAAUUUAAUUAGGUACGAUAUUUGUAUAGCAUUUUAGGAUACGGAAUACCGAACCGAAACAUCUAAAUACCGUACCGACCGACGAACCCCCUAGCCAAAUAUGAGCCCCAAAAAAACUUUGGCAUGAAAUUCAAUAUAAAUUCAUUAAUUUUUAAAAAGAAACUAUACAUCUUCUGAAUUUUUAUAUAUAAGUCUCAAUUCUGAUAGUUAUAAGAAUACUGUAAAAACACAUAAAUAAAUGAAGAAUUUUUUGACGUACCAUAUAAAAUUAGACAAAUAUAGUUAUUCAGAUGAACAAACCAUUCUAUCUGUUAGAGUUUCAUCCCCAAAAUUUGUAAUAAAAUGAACAACAUAAAUCUUAAUGGAGGAUAGAUUCUUGCCCUCGACAUAUAUAAAACGGUAGCUCGGUGCACUAAGCUCCCGUUAUGCACGGGGUUCGAAAAAAGGUCGCAGCCUUACCAUGCAUUUCUGCAAGAAGCUGUUUCCACGGCUGGAAUCCGUGACCUCCUGGUCAUAAGACAGUAACUUUACCAGUUACGCCAAAACUCUUCUUGCUUGCGACAUAUGUGUAUCAUGAAACUAACCAGAGAUGGAUCUAUGCUCGGAGAAGAUGGGCUACUUGACUCCGUCAAUUUUAGCAAAAAUUCUAAUAUAUAUAAGUGUAUAAAUUUGAAAACGGUCAUAUAUUUUGCUUGGAAUCCUUUAAGAUCAAAAGUCCGAUGGGGCACUGGUUAAUCAAUUUGCUCAUGUGUUUCCACCGCCUUCAAAUCCCGGGUAUGCCUCUCAAAUUAGUUGGAAAUAUAGCAGGUAAAUCCCAAUUGAUAAACGGGAAGUAUAAAUUGGAGUUUCAAAUGCGUUUUAUAAAUCUGAAACACCGACUUAUCAAUCGCAAUUUGAAUUUAUAAAGAUUCUGCCACUUCGUAUUAUUUUUUGUGUAAAAUAAUGAAAAACGAAAAACACAAUUAAAUGAAUACUAAAAUAAAUCGAAUCUAGACCGUUCAAUUAUUAUUGUACACACGUGGCUUACAUCUAAUAGCGUAUUAGGAAGUACUGAAAAUAAAAAGCCAUUUCACCACUCACACUACUCAUACUCUCUCUGUUGAUUGCUGCUGUAGAAUCAAAAAGAGAUGGGUAGAAAAUCGUCCUUACCGAAGGGUAAAGAUAAAGUCAUCGACGGCAAAGCCUCGUCGGCCGGAAAAAGAAAGCGCGACGGUUACGAUGAGGAUAAAACCGGUGGCCGGAAAAGGAAGGGUGUACUUCAGUUCGUUGACGACGCUGCUUACGAGGUCGACGACGAUGACGACGACGACUUCGAUUUCGAUUUCAGUGACGACUCCGAUUUCUUCGACGAAGGUAUAAUGCGUUACAGCUGUCACUGACUUGAUUUCUUUUUUAUUUUGUUUUAGCUGAAAGCUACUUAGAAAAUUAGGGAUUCUUGGUAUACUCGGUUUGGUUAAUUAGCUAUAAUGUUCUGCAUUAUCGUAGAAUUUUUGACUACUUAUGCAUGUUUUUAAACUUUAAAUUUAGGAAAUUGACUGAGAAAUUAGGGAUUUGUUUUGGUAAAAUCGGUUUGUUUAAUAAGCUCUAUUGUCAUAGAUUUUAUGAUUACUUAUUUGCAUGUUUGAGUUUUAUUUAAUAAAUAGACAGCAUUUACUUAAUGCCUUUUUCUUAGAAAAAUGAGUUGGAAUUAGGGAUUUUUGGUGAAUUUGUUUGUGUAAUAGCCUAUGCCGGUAUGCAUUUUUCGGAGAUUUGUUCUUUUAUUUUUUGCUCUGCAUGUUUGAGGUUUAUAUAAACUUUUUUAAAGAACUGAGGUUUUUAAAGCUAAAAAAUCGUUCUAAAAUUGCAGCUAUGUUGGUGUAAUAUUUUCUGUUCCGUCUGUGUGAGCUUGCUCGCAUUGGCGGUCCCGAGCCCAGAAUAAAGGAGGAGGGUUGCUGUAGGCUGACAGCUAUAAUGAGGAUUCAUAUAGUCGACUCCAACUUGUUUGGGUCUGAGGCGCAGUAGUCCUUGGUUAUUUUUGUUUGGUUUUUCCAAUUGGCUUAGUAUAGGAGGUUUUUUGUUUAAAAUUUUUUGUUUUUGUUUACCUAAUGGCAAGUGAACAAACUUUGCUGCACCACAAUAGAAUACCUUUACCAAUCAAAAAAAGAAAGAGGAAGAAGAAGAAGCAAGUGAACAAAGAAAGAAAAAAAAACAUAUGUAGGGUUUCAUUAUCCAAACUUGGAAGUUAUUUGUUUUGACGGGAUUCACUUGUCUAUUGUUUCGGAAACAACCUCUCUACUCCUUCGGGUAGGGGUAAGGUCUGCGCACACACUAUCCUCCCCAGACCCCAUUAGUGGGAUUUUAUUGGGUUGUUGUUGUUGUUGUCACUUGUCUAUUGUAAAUUUGGGUUUUAAAAACUGAAGUUAAGCAAGACCAUAGUCUACUAUGAUUCUGGUUUUGUUUUCCAUUUUAAUUUGUGUUUUUUUAUUGUAAAUCAGUUUAUGUUUCUCAGUUUUUGGUGUAUAGAUGGUAUGCGACAUACCGGGUAAAACUACGCUUUGACGAAUCUACAUAUUUCUUACAUUCCUUGAAAAUGCUUGGUCUAAGGCAUGGUGGAUUAGCUGAUUUCCUUUGAUUGAACUCUUCUGUAAAUAUUACAUGUAUAAUAGGGGAAUAGGAUUGUGUUUUAAACAGCAGCUCCUCAGUACCAUAAUUCUCCAGGCUAAGAACAAUUGAUACAUUAUUCUUUGUUAUUUUAAGCUUCAUACUUCUACAGUUCUACGUUCAUAUUGUUUUCACCCUUCCAUUCUAAGAGAAAUUCUGAACUUCUUUAUCUGCAUUUUCUCGUGAGAAUAGCUUGCUGCUAGCUUUAUUUUUUGCAAUUUUCUCUGUGUAUGUGCUUGUUGUUUGUCGCCUCUCUAAACUCAUUGUCCAUUUAGAAUUGUACAAAGAUCUAUGCUGCCACUAAUUUUUAGUUUUUAUCACUAGCUCUGCAAAAGCAUGUCCACUUCAACUCUACCUGAUCAAAAAGAAAAAAAAUAACAUUUGCUUGAAUCAUUUUGAUAUAUAAUUUUUAUUUAUUACCAAGUGACUAUUUGUACAAAAAACUUCAAAAGAAAAACUGGAAGUUGGAUCACUGUCCCAACUUUUAGCUGCAGAACGCCAGAACCUCACAAUUGGUAAAUAACUGAAGCAAAGAAUACAACUUUUCUAAGGACAAAAGUCCAAAUCUUCCAUUCUUCUUGCUAAUUUGAUCUUCAGACUUGCCCUGCAGAAACAUUUACUUGAAUUUUGGUAUUACAAUAACAGCAUUGCCUAAAGUUGCAAACGAAGGAAUUAUUAGCCAACCUUCCUUCUAGAUUAAACAAACUACAAGGAGUUUAUCUUAUCAAAAGAAAACCAAACUACAAGCAGUUUAAAAAAAAAAAUAGCAAACAAAAAUAUAUUUAGCUCAGGUGCGUUGGUUAUUUUUUUGGUAGGUACACUAUGCCAGAGUUAUUUUGACUUUGGUUUAUCUAAUCAUUGUUGUUCUCCUGCUAUACAGAUUUUCUUGAGGAAUUUGGAAGUAAUGUUGAAAUCAAGAAUGAACCUGUGAGAACACCCCAACCCCCAGUGAUCAAAGAGGAGGAAUUGGAUGGAGAAGAGCUGGAGAAGAUGUUAAGGGAGCGUUAUAGACCAGGUUCUAGUUUUGUUGCCUAUGCAGAAGAUAGUGAUGAGAAGAAGAGGCUAUUUGAGCAGGACACACUUGUGCCUUCUCUCAAGGAUCCAACUAUAUGGAAAGUUAAAUGCACGGUACUCUAAUCGACGGCAAAAAUGAAAAGUCAUUGAUGCAUAUAUAUCAGAUUGCUGUCAUUUAAUUCUUUUUUACUGUCUUUCUAGUUAUAUGGCUUAUGUUUUCUUUUUGUAUUUGCUUUGUGCUAUAGGUUGGAAGAGAAAGGCACUCAACUUUCUGUCUUAUGCAGAAGUACAUAGACUUGCUUGCUCUAGGAACAAAGCUGCAGAUAAUUUCCGCUUUUUCACUUGAUCAUGUAAAGGGAUAUAUUUAUAUUGAGGCUGACAAACAAUCUGAUGUCUACGAGGUACUACUUCCUUUUUUUUUUGUUUUAUCAUGACAUUCUUAUGUCUUGAAUUGGCCUUGAUGCUUCUGUGGAAGUCUGAGCAUUCGUUAGUGACAUUCUUUUCUUGAUGAAAACAUUCUUUAAUGACAUUUUACACUCUCUAAGCUGAGCUCCUUGUAUAGGCGUGUAAAGGCCUUUGUAGUAUAUAUUCGAGUAGAGUGGCACCUGUUCCAAAGAAUGAAGUUUCUCAUUUGAUUGCUGUGCGGAGCAAGUCUUCUGGGAUUUCUGAGGGUAUGUGGGCACGUGUCAAAAGUGGAAUAUACAAGGGCGAUCUGGCGCAGGUACUUUUUAUUCCAUCAGCUAGCUGCUAUUUAAAUCUCUCUUAUCAUACAUGUAAAUGCAAUAUGAAUUUUCUGCUGGUUAAUGCUGCUUCCUGACCUCUCUUUAUUUGUCUGAGAAAUUAAACAACAAUAACAAAGUACCUUCUUUUUAGAGCUUGCUAACAGUUUCAUCAUGGUCAUGUAGGUUGUGGCAGUGAAUGAUUCACGGAAGAAAGUGACUGUGAAGCUGAUUCCAAGAAUAGACUUACAAGCCAUUGCCGACAAAUUUGUAACAAUUUAUACUCGAUUUCAUAAAUGUUUUAUGUUUUAGUUAGUGUGAAUUACUCUGUAAAUAUGAAGAUAUGAAGCAUAACACCUAUGAAGCAUAGCACCGUACUCCCUGCUUCUCGUCACCUCCUCAUCAUGAAAAAGAAAAAAAGAAAGAACAAAAAGCUGUGUUAGGGAGGGAGGGAGGGACAGUGCAGGUCAUGAUUUCUGGGUAAUUGUGCUUUGGGUUAUCUUAACCUCAAAUUCCUUAAAGUAAUGCACAUCUGUUUGGAGUUCUUGUGCAUUCGUACUUAUUGGAGGUUUUGAUUUUAGUAGUUCCUGCACUGCAUGUCGUAGAUCCUUUUAGUUGUUUGUAUAGUAUUACAAUUUUAGACUGAAGCACUGUACUUCAUCUUCUCUUUGUUUUGAAUGUUUGCUCCUAUGCUCUAUUGGGACUUCUGCUUGAUAUUGACUAAGCACUUGAAGUAUUUAGCUAAUUAUGCACUUAGCAAUCCAGGUUUAACAUCUCAUUAAUAUAUUUUCAUUUAAUUUAGGCUUGUAUAUCUUCUGUAGUCCGCUGCAGUAAUGCUGGUUAUCAUCUUUGCUGAUUAAAAAAAUUGCUGCUUAUCAUCCUCAAUACAAUUAUAAUUAUGACUAGUCUUCUUAAAAUACAUUUUUUCAGAGGCUAUAGAUUUCCUCUUUGCAAGAGUUCAACCUCUUAUCUUAGAGUGGUUAACGAGAGAGUGCAAAAAUGCAGGGAUAUUAUAGGGUUGGUACCCCCGUCAUUCAGGGAAUUGUUAUAAGUUCAUCUUCACGGUUUAUAUAUAUUUUUUUUGGGGGGGCUUCAAUUCCUAAUGUUUAGUCACGGUUUAAGUUGAUCCUAAAACAACUCUAUAAUUAAGUAUUUAUAGACUUCUAGUGAUACGUACAUUCAUUACAUAACUAUUCGCAUGUUGAUGUUUCCAUACCUAGUCAUUUUUUUACUUUCAACUUGCUUAGAUAGCUGAGUUUUUUAUAUGUUUUAUAGGGUGGAGGAGUUGCUGCAAAGAAGGGAGUUAUCGCAGCACCAAGACUAAUUAGCUCUACAGAGCUUGAGUAAUAUGCAUUCUCCAUUUGUUACGAUUAAUAUAAUAGGUUGCAAGUACUUGACAAUUUUUCCUUAAUUAAACUGCAGAGACUUUCGGCCCCUCAUACAAUACCGGAAGGAUCGGGAUACAAACCUAAUGUUAGAAAUUCUCGACGGAAAGAUGCUGAAGGAUGGUUAUUUAUACAAAAAAGUGGGCACUGAUUCAUUGAGCUAUUGGGGUGUAAUGCCUACUGAAGCUGAACUCCUGAAGUUUGAACCUUCUAAAAGUGAUGGACCCCAGGAUGUAGAGUGGCUUACCCAGCUUUACGGUGACCGGAAGAAAAAGAGAAUUAUAAAUGAUUUCAAGGUUGGUCAGAAAGGAGGUGAGAAAGGAGAGGGUUCUUCAAGCUCUAGCAUGGAAAACAAUUUUGAAGUAGAUGAUCUUGUAUUUUUUGGGUAGGUUUGUCUCUUACUGUUUACCAAUGUGGAAUCUGCACCCUGUAUUUUGUCAUUUUUGUUUAAUCAUUUUUCUAUGCUAUUACAGUAGGAAUGAUUUUGGCAUUAUUAUUGGCAAGGAGAAAGAUGAUAGCUUUAAGGUAUAUGCAAGUCUAUUAGCUUUAUUUUUCUUUGGGUGAAUGAUGUCUUAAUUAAAGCGAUUAUUUUUCAGAUCAUGAAAGAUGGUUCAGAGAGACCUGUGGUAGUGAGCAUUCAACUGCGUGAGUUGAAGCGUGCAUCUUUUGAUAGGAAGCUAUUCACUGUGAAAGAUCAGCUAACCAAUACCAUCUCAGUUGGUGAUAUGGUUAGAGUUUUGGAUGGUCCCUUGAAGGUUUGACUGUUAUUCAUCUUUUAUUUUUUCUUUGUUUGAUCAUGAUAGUAUCCGAGUCAGCUUGUACAUACCUUGACUAAUCCACCGACGACUUGCUAUUUCCUUCUACUGCCCACCAAAGGUUAGGUAGAUAUGAAUAUAACACUAGUGCUUCUGCUGGCAUUUGAAAACUUGGUUCCCAAGGUUUUUACUCCAGCUCUUUGACCACUAGGUCACCCCUUGGAAUGUUUGACUGUUAUUCAUGGAAGCAGUAACAUCUUUUCAUGGAAGCAGUAACAUCUUUUUAUGUGUAAAUUAGUCUUCUGAAAUGAUGUAAUGUAGGGUUAAUAAAUGCAGGAUAGACAAGGAAUUGUUAAGCAGAUCUAUAAAGGAGUCGUCUUUCUAUAUGACCAAAGUGAGCAGGAUAAUAGUGGUUAUCUCUGUGUCAAAGGUCAGAUGUGUGAAAAAAUUACAGGCAGUGAUGGUGUAUCAAAUGAGAAGGUUUGUACAUUUUGGGGCAUAUUAGAACUAACCGUAUUCUUAUGAUACCCAUAUUUGUUCCCCUAAUUUUUUUGUGCUUAUUCUAUUUAAUCAGGGUAGUGAGCCUGGUCCCUCAGGUUUUGCAGAUUUCUCGUCAUCCCCUAAAUCCCCUCUUUCGCCUGAGAAAUCUUGGAGAGCGAAGGAUGAUAACUGCAGCUGUAUGUUUUUUAUUAGUCUGCUCUUAGAUCCCCUCUUUCUAUUUGAUGUCUCGAAUCAAGGCACUGCUCCCAAUUCAAAUAUUUAUUCCUCUAACUUCUGGUUCUUUUUCCUCAAACAGUCAAGCACGAUGAUAAAGAUGGAAUGUUUUCCGUUGGUCAGUCUCUAAGAAUCCGAGUGGGGCCUUUGAAGGGAUAUCUUUGUCGUGUAGUAGCCAUUCGACGUUCUGAUGUUACAGUAAAGCUUGAUUCCCGGCAAAAAAUUCUUACAGGUUUGUACAUUUCCUUGCAUCUUCUUUUAAUGUUAUAUGGGAAAUUGUCACUAAACAUUCUGUCAUUGUAGUUAAAUCUGAACACCUGGCAGAAGUUCAUGGAAAGAGUUCUAUCACGUCUCUUGGGUACAAUUUCUUUACCUGAAUAAAUUGAAGGAGAAGCAUUCAAUUACUUUUUUUCACUUUGAUUUCUUUUAAUUUUCUCUUUACUUUCAACAAUAGGGUCGAUGGUGAUUCUGCAAAACCUUUUGACCUGCUUGGAACACAGGAUGGUUCUCAAGGUAGGAAGCAUUUUGCUCCUUCACUGGAUGAGUAAAAGUAAUUUUAUUCCAGAGAGACAAAACCAAAUAGGUGCAGCUACAUACAAAACAAAAGCUCUAGUGACUGAGGAAUUCAAGUAAAGAGUUGACAUCAUACAUCUGCCAUCUUUCACCAAAAGUGAAAAGAUAUAAUCACGAGUUUCUAAGUUUAUGUAUAGAGUUAACUAAGCCUUCAAAGCAUCUUCUGUUCCCUUCCACCCAACUGGUCCAAAAUGCAUACAGGGAUGGUCAUUUAUGUCUUCCACUUCUCUUGUGCAAUCUUCUUCCAUUUCUGCAACAUAGUAGUUCCUCGACUGUCUUUGGCAUUGCCCUCUUUUGAUUGUAUAAGCUGAGAAACAUGCACCACAACUUUCUGGCCGCCUGACAGUGUAUAAAGAGGUGAUUCACUUCUUCCUCAUUUUCUCACACGUGGAGCUUCUGCUGCACAACACCAUUCCGGGCCCUUGUAAUUUUGAUCGUGUCAAACAUGCUCAUGUGCAGUUAUCCAACAAAAAUUGCCCACCUUAACUGAUGCUUUGCUCUUCCAGAUUAUCUACCAAGGCCACUGCAUAACAGUAUUCUGCCUGUUGCACAAAUUUCUAUAUCCAGACUUGACGGUGUAUUUUGAUCCCUUUGAUAUUCUCAUUACUCAUUUCACUGCAUCUUCUUCCUCUAGACAUAUUCUGGCCCCUUCUAUUUUCCCAGCAGAUUGGUGACUUUCCCUAUUCCCAAUCUUCACAGUUUCUCCUAAAAGAUAAUUCCCAUCCUCUUUGUGAUGUUGUGCCGCUGUUGCUUUAGUAUUUACUGCCAAAUUAUAUUGGGGGAUAUCUUUUGCCAAAUUUUUACCCUCAUGCCAUUACCCAUUGUGAAGUGUAUGUUUUUUUUUAAUAAUCAUCUCAGAUGUUUCAAAUGUGCUUCCACAAGCCCACUCCAUGAGCAUGUCUGUCAAUUAUAACCUGUUUCCCUAUGUGAAAUUUAUUACUGCUGUGGAACAUACCCUUCUACAUGGAUGUAUCUGAUUGCAGAGUCUUCUUUUGUUUUUUUUAAUAUGUAUUUUUGCGUUUUAGUUUUCUUUUUAUAUUGGUUGUCUCUCUUGCUAUUUAAUGUCAAAUUUUCUGUAGAUCCAUACUUCUCCUUUCAUAAGUAUAGAGUCUGUACUUUUAUCCUUUUUUGUUCUUCACUUCGUUGGAACUACUCUUUCCUUAAAAGGCAGUACUAUCCACAGUACAAUUAAUUGAUUAGUGUCGAGUAGUGCAGUUGAUGAGAUUCAGCCUAACUAACAAAUUUAUCAAUGUUUAAGGUUGUGACUUAUCGUUCUACUUCUUUUAUCUUUUUGGCAGAUUGGAUGGUUCAAGGGGCCACAGAAACUGAGGGUAACACCGAGAAUGCAGGAGCAUCAUCCUCUGCUGAAAGGUUAAAAAUCAUUGCUAAUAUUAUUGUCCGUUUUCCUGUUCUUACAUCUUGAAGUAGUAUCUAUGUAGAAAGGUAUUUCUAUUUCUUACUUUUUAAAAGUUGAUUCAUGUACCUGUUAAUCACUGUAUGGCAAAGUGUCUAAAGAUGGUGAUGCUUGCAUCUGCUUUCCAUACUUGAAAAGUACUAAAAACAAGGAGCUAAAAUAAUGCCUAUCUUUUAGGAAGGGUUAAAUUGUCUACUUAUUUUCUUGGUAUAGUAAAAGAGUUAUCAAGAAAAGAUCUAGUUCAAAACUUAAAAAUCGUUGCUCAUAUUUACUGCUUUGUUUUCCUGAAAGGUUCGAAGUUGCUACUAUAUUUACUUUUUGUUUUCCUGUUCAUACAUCUCUAAGUAGUAUCUAUGUAGAACAGUAUAUCCAUUUCUUGCUUCUGUAGAUGUUGAUUCAUGCAUCUGUUAUUUCAUCUCUAAGAUUGAAAUGCGUGCCAUCUGCGUUCCAUACUUGUAAAAAGAAAGAAGCUAAAAUCAUGUGUUAUUUGGGAAGGGAUUAUUUGCCGCUUAUUUUUCUUGUUAUGCUAAAAGUAUUGUUAUGAAGAGUUUAAUUCAAAUCUUCACUAGUUCUGUCCUAUGGAUUUUUUUUUUUUUUUGAUGAAGUAAGGAUGAUUCAUUAAUAGGCAUCAAGAAGAUGCAAAAGGUACAAAAAGGUAGAUAAUCACUCCAGUACAAAAAUCUAUGCUAAGAACAAGGAGCUAAUGAAAUCCACAAGGUGAUCUUCACUAGUUACAGGGGAAAGAUAAAUCCAGCUAAAUAGAUAACUAAGCAAAUAGUCUUGAGGGAGUAGAUUGGAGUUGAGAUGCCAUCAAAACACCUCUGAUUUCUUUCUGUCCGGAUACACCAAUAAAUUACUGCUGGAACCAUUCUCCAGAUCCUCUUGAUGGAUUCUAGACCAAAAAUUGAGAAGAAGAGAUUCCAGAUUUCACUUGCAACUGCGCAAUAGAGGAAAAGAUGAUUGACACUUUCUGAAUUUUGUUGACACAUGUAACAUCUGUUAACAAGUAUAAUGUUCCUCUUUCUAAAGUUGUAUUGAGUGAGUCAAUACCCCCUUUAUAGCUAGCCAGGUGAAGUAAUUCACCUUGGUAGGCACCUUAGUUCUCCAGAUAUGUUUCCAAGGCCAGCUAUCUAUCAUACCAUUCUGGGAACAAAAGUGUUUGUAACCAUCUUGGACUGUGUAUUUGCCCCCCUUAGAGUGUUCCCAUCUGAGUUUGUCUGGCUGCUGAUCAUCACUGAUGUGGUCUUCUAAAGAGUGGAACAUAGUUAGUAGGUCACUAAUCUCCCAGUCCUGUAGGUUCCUUCUGAACAGGGGGCACCAUGUGCCAUUUUCUUUGUUCUGAGCAACAGUGGAUUCCUUGUUGAGUGCAAUCUGGUAUAGAUUGGGAUAUAUAUCCAUCAGUGCAUUAUCUCCAUGCCACCUGUCUUUCCAGAAUUUAACAUGAUCUCCUUUCCCAACCUUGAAGGUUAUAUUUUGAAAGAACUCAUCCGAGUGCUUGCUGAUAUUCUUCCAUAGGCCAACUCCAUAAGGAGUGUUUAUUUUCUUUGUACACCAGUGAUUAUGUUGCCCAUACUUAGCAUCAAUGAAACAAGGAGGUGGUGUUUUCUCUAUCAUCUUAAAAGUUUUAAAAACUCAUAUUUAUCAGCUCACGUACUUUAGAAACAUAUUCACUGGACAGGUUAUGAAAAGCUUGAUAGGUUGCAGGUUUUUUUGCUUUUGGGGGGGUUGAGGUUACGAAGGAAUGGGGGAAGACAGAGAAGAGUAACGAAAAAAAUAGGCAUACGAGGCACUAGCAUGAGUGAAGGCGCUAAUAUCAAAAGGAUAAAACUAACAAUUACUUGGAUAUCCAAACUCACACUAUUAGUAUCAAACUUGAUUCUGCCUCCUUCAAUAUCGUAUGAGAUUUGUGCUUAAGACUGUAUGUCUUCUGCUCCAUUAUCUCCAUUUGGCUUCUUAAGAAAAGCUCUAAUUCAUGCUGUUUUACAUAUUAUGCAACUACUCUUCAGUCUUACACCCGCCAUUUCCGCGGUAUGAAUUUUGUGAUUUAGUGUUGCUUAUAAGGCGCUGCAGAUUUUACUUCUUUUGAUUUCAUUUGACACUGAAAAGAUGGGUGUUUUUUUUUCCUACCAUUAUUUUUGAAUAUUGUUGAUACUCAAUAGGACCUGAUAUAGGUAAAAAUUUUGUGCAGAAGUUCUUGGCCUGCCUUUCCUGCUGUUGCUGGCUCUGGGCAAGAUGAUGGCUGGACAAAACCUGAUGGUUGGGCGAAAGGUACUUCUACUGCUGGCGCUACUAGUGCUGUGUCUGACGGCUGGGGCAAAAAGGUUGAAUCACAUCAAGAGAGCACCGAGAAGGUUAUGGAUGAUCCCUGGGGAUCUGUGCAAAAACAAGAGAAAAAUGAUGAUUCGGGCAGAACCUCAUGGAGCAAGCAGGAUGCUGGAUCUUCUUGGGGUAAGCAAUCUGAUGCAGAUCCAGAGACUGACUGGAAAAAGCAAGAUGGUGGAGCGAACAAGACAGAUAGAAAAACCUCUUGGAGCCAGCAGGACGCUGGAAGUGAUGGUGGAUCCUCUUGGGGUGCGCAAGCGGGAGUAUCUUCUUGGGGUAAGCAAUCUGAUGCAAAUGCAGAGACUGGCUGGAAAAAGCAAGACGGUGUAUCAAAUAAGACAGAUAGCAAAACCUCGUGGAGCCAGCAGGGUGCUGGAUCUUCUUGGAAGAAAAGUGAUGGUGAAGGUGGAUCCUCUUGGACUAAACAAUCUGAUGCCACUGCAGAGACUGACUGGAAAAAGAAAAAUGAUGGAUCUGGCUGGAAAAAGCCAGAUAGCAAUGCUUCGUGGAGCCAGCAAGAUGCUGGAUUUUCUUCGAAGAAAAGUGAAGGUGAAGGUGGUUCUUGGAGUAAGCAAUCUGAUGCAAAGGCAGAGAAUGACUGGAAAAAGCAAGAUGGUGGAUCUAGUAGCUGGGGUGGUGGUACGGACCUAGAGGGGAGCUGGGGAAAGCCAAGACAAUUUGAUGGAGGUCGUGGAUCAGGUGGCAGGAGAGGACGAGGUGGUUGGCGAGGGGGUCGAGAUCAAAGUGGUAGAGGAAGAUCUUUUAAUCAAGGACAGUCUAGUAGCUGGACUACUGAAGGUGAAGGCAAUAAUAAUUCUAGUAAUGUAGAAUUUAAGGGGAACCAGUCUAGUUGGAAUAGUUCACAGGAACUUGGUUGGGGAAAAGUUAAUGAUGACACCAGUAUUGCUGGUAAUCGAUCAUCUGAUUUUCAGAGUGGUGGUGGUUGGAAUGCCUCCAAACCAUCAAAUGAAGGAUGGUCUUCUGGUUGGAAUAAGAAUUCAGCCUCAAAGGAGGUAGGAGGUUCUAGUGGAAACCAGUCUGAUUGGGACAAAAGAUCUGGUGAAUCUGGGAGCAAGCAGUCAGCUGGUUGGGACAAUAAGAUCACUCAGAAAGAGGCAGCAGGAAACUCCUCUGCCUGGAAUAGCAAAGCUGCAGUCGAUAAUGAAGACACCAGUAUUGCUGGUAAUCAAUCAUCUGAUUUCCAGAGUGGUGGUGGUUGGAAUGCCUCCAAACCAUCAAACGAAGGAUGGUCUUCUGGUUGGAACAAGAAUUCAGUCUCAAAGGAGGUAGGAGGUCCUAGUGGAAACCAGUCUGAUUGGGACAAAAAAUCUGGUGAAUCUGGGAGCAAGCAGUCAGCUGGUUGGGAUAACAAGAUCACUCAUAAAGAGUCAGCAGGAAACUCCUCUGCAUGGAAUAGCAAAUCUGCAGUCGAACAAGAUGCCAAUGGGAAAAAUCAAAAUGAUCCAUGGAGUGGUAAAAGAACUUCAGAUGGAGGUUCAUCUACAGGAUGGGGUCAAAGUAAUUUGUGGAAGAGCGGAAAGGAUGAUGCCGUUGGAAAUCAAGAUUCCUGGAGCAGCAAAAGUAACUGGAAUUCUGGCAGUGGUUUUGGUAACAACGACCAGCAAUCUGAUUCUUAUGGUGACCGGGGAAGAGGUGGUAGUUGGAGGGGAGGCCGUGAUGGAUCAGAUCGAGGUGGAUACGGAGGUAGGGGUGGUUCAGAUCGCGGUGGCUUUGGAGGAAGGGGAGGUUUUCGAGGUAGAGGGGACAGGGGAGGUUUUAGAGGUAGAGGAUCGGAUGGGGGAGGAUUUCGUGGUAGAGGGCAUGGAAGGAGGGAUGAAAGUGGUGAUUGGCAAAAUAGAACUGAUUCGCAGGAAGAUAAAGCCUACGGUUGGAGCAAAGAGUCAGGCAGUGAUGCUGAGGGAUUUAAGUCUAAUAAGGGCAGUUGGAGUCAAGGUAACAAUGACAGAGGGAGCUGGAAGACUGCUGAUAGUAGAGGUAAUGUUAAUGAUGGUGGAUGGAAGAAAGGAUUCGACUCCGAGAAGAAUGGGAGUGGAAGUGGUACUAGUGCCACCAGUUGGAAUACUCCAGGAAAUAGUUGGAAAACUUCUACUGCUACUACGGGAGGUACAUCUUCAGGGUGGGGUCAACAGACAACUGUUAGUGAAAAGGAGGAUCAGAAUGGUUUGGGAACAAGUUGGAACCAGGGGACUGCUUCAGGAAAUGCGAGCACAGCUUGGACUGCAAACAAAUCAAAAGAAACAAGUGAUGGACCGAGUGAUGCGUGGGGUAAAACAACCAGCUCUUGGGGCAAAGGAAACAGUUCUGGCAGCCAGGGAGGGGGCAGCAGCCAACUGUUAGUGAAAAGGAGGAUCAGAAUGGUAUGGGAAUAAGCUGGAACCAGGGAACUGCUUCAGGAAAUGCGAGCACAGCUUGGACUGCAAACAAAUCAAAAGAAACAAGUGAUGGACCGACUGAUGCGUGGGGUAAAGCAACCAACUCUUGGGGCAAAGGAAACAGUUCUGGCAGUCAGGGAGGGGGUAAGCAGACAACUGUUAGUGGAAAGGAGGAUCAGAAUGGCAUGGGAACAAGCUGGAACCAGGGAGCUGCUUCAGGAAAUGCGACCACAGCUUGGACUGCAAACAAAUCCAAUACUGAGGAUGUGAACAAAUCAAAAGAAACAAGUGAUGGACCGAGUGAUGCGUGGGGUAAAGCAACCAACUCUUGGGGCAAAGGAAACAGUUCUGGCAGUCAGGGAGGCUGGUGACAUCUUUGAACAGUAAUUAUUUGUACUUAAACUUGCUGAUUUUAUAUCCUGCUCAUUUAGGUCUUUAUACUCAAACUUUCCUACAUGGUGCAUAGAUUCUACUUGCAAAUAUUUGAGAUGAUAGUCUCAACUUUUUACUUUAAUACUUUAAAGAUAAACUAUUUGAAACAUCAUAAUGUGUCACUAUAUUAUGCUUAAUAUACACGCCCUGUUGAUAUUAUUAUGUUAAUAUAUACACGCCCUGUUGAUAUUAUUAUGUUAAUAUAUUUUGUUUCGGCUGAAUACAUACGCGGCCACUUAAACUUGUCCGAAUCUUUCACUUAAGACACCUAUGCUAAAGCUUGUACCUAUUGAACACUCGAUGCUAGUUGAAAAUGUGUCAAGUAGACACAAGUUGCUGAUGUGGCCACUUGCAUGUACCACGCCACUUAAGAGAGACUGAAGAUACAUAAUUUCUUAAUUUUUAUUUUUCGAAUUCUCUCUCCUUCGGUUUCUCUCUGCCACCGCCAUUAUACCACCACCGUAGCCACUGAUGCCAUCACCUCUAGCUCCUCGUUGUACCUUCGCCAUGAAGUAUUUUUGUAAACAUUGGAGAAACAGCUCCAUCUUGAUAAACACACAGAACCACCAUUCUUCCCUGCCAAAACAAACACCAGUCGUCCUCAUUCUUUCUAAAACCAGCCUCUAUCUGAUUACCCCUAUACAACAACUCCAUAACUCCACUGUUAUAGACCUAUCUGCUCUUUUGCUCCACCUUCUGGGUUGCAUCAAUUUGAGUUAUUUUUUGAAUUGCUUGCCUUUUAGUUUUCGAUGGGGUUGAAGGAGUGGUGCAGUGGAGUGAUUCUGAAGGUGGAGGUUUUGUAUUCAAUGAAUAUAGAUUUAUGGGUUUACUUUUUUUUUUUUUUGGGGGGGGNNNNNNNNNNNNNNNNNNNNNNNNNNNNNNNNNNNNNNNNNNNNNNNNNNNNNNNNNNGGGGGGAGGCAGUGGUGCAAGUCCAUGAUUAAGGAAGGUCAGGAAGAUAAACAUCAAAGAAGAAGGUAGAAAAAACGAAAGACUAAUGCUUUGUGUCUGCAGGUCUGGUUUGAAUGGUGGAAAGAGAGGAUGUUGAAGAAAUCAAAGAAGAAAGACUGGGUUUGUUGAAGAAAACGAAGAAGAAUUUUGCUUUGCCUGUCUUUAUUUUGUUUGUUGAGUGCCACUUCAUCAGCGAUUGAGUUGCACGCACUUGGUCUUUUGUCAGGUUCCGUAAGGGUUCAAUUGACAUAAUUUGAGCAUGGUUCAAGUAUUCAAUAGGUUAUGGGCUUAGUUUAUGUGUCUAAAUGAAAAAAAUUGACCAAGUUUAAGGGGCUAUAUGCGGUCUUUUCUUUGUCUUUCCUUUAUUUAUCUUGUUUUGUCUUAUUUUUUCUAUUCUAUUAUAAGUAGCAUAUUUAGUCUACUUGUGGUUCUAGAAAUUUUCAUUUGCAUUGCCAGUUUGCUGCGCCCAUUUCCAUCAACUUUAUUGUUGUACAUUCUACUUAUUUUGUUUUUUUCUUUAUGCAGGUUAUUUUGCUAUGGAGGGUCGACCGAGUUAUCCAUGUAAAUGAUCUGGUUUUUGGCUUGUAAAAAGAACUAAAGGAUGGACUUGGUCUUUGGGGAAAGCAUAAAUGGCACUUUAGAUGCUAGAUGUAUAAGCAAUUAGACUUGAAUUGCAGAAUACCAACUUCUGAAUGUUGGAUGUUUGAUAAUCUCUUACUUAAUUUUCACUUUAGUGCAAACCAAGGAGUAAAGCUAAAGUGAAUUAAUUUAAGAACAAGAAGUAUAACCUAGGUUGGUGUAUGGUGUUUCAACAGUUUGUGUUUGGUCCAGUACCUGUCUCUUCUAGUUGUUUUAUUUACUUUUGUUUGAUUACUUAUUUUGGGGAAUGCUAAGAGGAAAGUGAUCUUGGUAAAUGCAUAAAUGCUUAGAGCCUAGUCUGCAGAGAGCUAAAUUUACAAUCUUUCAGCUUACACAUUGCUUAAAGGGCGUCUAAAAACAUGUUGAUGUCAAGUGGACCUGGAGUAAGCAAUUUUGGCUAACUUUGGUUCUUUAGAAAUAGAGGUUUACAUUUUUACGGAAAUACAAUUUUUUCUAGUGUAUUGGCAUAGUUAAUUUUGAAUUCCAUCUUGCUGUUAUUGUUUAUAUGGGUUUUUGGCUUCUAUUAUGUUAUAUUAAGUCUAUAUGCCGAAAUAGAGAUCGUACUAUCAAAAUUUGAACACUUAACACGACCUUGUAUUCUCAAGUUUUAGGGUACAACUAACUGUACGAAGAAAGCUAUUCGUGAAGUACACACUUCAAUAUAAAUAGCUUGCUAUUAGAAGUAGGGUUAUGCAUAAUUUGGCAAAUACUGAAUUACCGUACCAAAAUCGAAAAUUUUAGUAUUUGGUAUUUGUUAUGGUAUUUGGUUUAAUUUUAAAAAAAAUAGUAUUAGGUAUGGUAUUUGAUAUUUUAAAAUGAAAUAUCAAAAUACCGAUACUGUACCGAAAUAUAUAUUAUAUUGUCUCUAAAAUUUUGCUUUCCUUUAUUCUUUACGUUUAUCAAUUAACUCUAAGCAAGUAACAAGACGUUUCUAAUGAUCAAAUUUAUUUAUUUAUGUAUAGUUUUUUCUCUCUGGGUUUAUAUUUACUGGUUUUGGACAAAAGUUUUAUCAACAAACUUUUUUAGUUUUGUACUUUUAAGUAAUUUAAUUAAGAAUAUUACAAUCUAUGACUCUACGUACUAGUUAACAUUCAAACUGAAUAAACCGAAGUUACCGAACCGAAUAAACCAAAACUGAAAGAAGAAAAAUCGAACCAUACAAAAUUUAAUUAGGUACGGUAUUGGUAUUGCAUUUUAAGAAACUGAAUACCGAAAAUACCGAACCGAAAUGUCUAAAUACCGUACACCAGUGGCGGACGCACGUGAUGGCAAGCGGGUUUAACUGUGUAUAAUACUGUGUAUAUGUAUAAAUUUCGAUUAAAGCAGCGUAAAUUUUGUAUAAAUAUUUUAUUUGAACCCACUAGGGCUGGCAAGUGGGCCGGUCCCGGGCCUAAACGGGCCAAGUGGGCCGGUCCAAACGGUCCCGGGCCCGGAUCGGACCCAAAUUAAAAGGGCCAAACGGUCCCGGGCCUAAACGGGCUUUUUCUAAGGACUGGCCCGGGACCGUUUGGUCCCGGGCUAAACGGUCCCGGGCCGCGGGCUAAACGGGCUAAGUGGGCCCAAUUUUUUAUAAAAAAUAAAAAUAAAAAUAAAUAGAUAUUAGAGACAAAAGGAUGUUAAAAUAAAUAUCUAAGAUAUAUAGAUAUUCGAAUAUAUAUAGUAUAUAAGAUGUAUAUAAGAUGUAUAUAUAGUAUAUCGAUAUAAGAUGUAUAUAUACAUUAGCUAUAUUCGAUAAGCUAUAUAUAUACAUCUUAUAUACAGUAUAGUAUAUAUAUUAAAUAUAUAUAUAUAAUAUAUAUNNNNNNNNNNNNNNNNNNNNNNNNNNNNNNNNNNNNNNNNNNNNNNNNNNNNNNNNNNNNNNNNNNNNNNNNNNNNNNNNNNNNNNNNNNNNNNNNNNNNNNNNNNNNNNNNNNNNNNNNNNNNNNNNNNNNNNNNNNNNNNNNNNNNNNNNNNNNNNNNNNNNNNNNNNNNNNNNNNNNNNNNNNNNNNNNNNNNNNNNNNNNNNNNNNNNNNNNNNNNNNNNNNNNNNNNNNNNNNNNNNNNNNNNNNNNNNNNNNNNNNNNNNNNNNNNNNNNNNNNNNNNNNNNNNNNNNNNNNNNNNNNNNNNNNNNNNNNNNNNNNNNNNNNNNNNNNNNNNNNNNNNNNNNNNNNNNNNNNNNNNNNNNNNNNNNNNNNNNNNNNNNNNNNNNNNNNNNNNNNNNNNNNNNNNNNNNNNNNNNNNNNNNNNNNNNNNNNNNNNNNNNNNNNNNNNNNNNNNNNNNNNNNNNNNNNNNNNNNNNNNNNNNNNNNNNNNNNNNNNNNNNNNNNNNNNNNNNNNNNNNNNNNNNNNNNNNNNNNNNNNNNNNNNNNNNNNNNNNNNNNNNNNNNNNNNNNNNNNNNNNNNNNNNNNNNNNNNNNNNNNNNNNNNNNNNNNNNNNNNNNNNNNNNNNNNNNNNNNNNNNNNNNNNNNNNNNNNNNNNNNNNNNNNNNNNNNNNNNNNNNNNNNNNNNNNNNNNNNNNNNNNNNNNNNNNNNNNNNNNNNNNNNNNNNNNNNNNNNNNNNNNNNNNNNNNNNNNNNNNNNNNNNNNNNNNNNNNNNNNNNNNNNNNNNNNAAAAGAAGCCGUUGGGACCGUUUGGCCCGCUAAAGGACCGGGUCGAUCCCGGGCCCUGGCGGGCUAAAUGGUCCCGGGCCUGACGGGCCCAAAUCAUAGGACCGACCCACAAAACCGGCCCAGGCCCGUUUGGCCCGCGGUCCCGGGCCUGGACCGGCCCACUUGCCACCCUUAGAACCCACUUGACAACUACUAUUUUACGACUAAAGUUAUGUACUUCUAAGAUUGAACCCGCUUGCACAAAAUUCUGGGUCCGCCACUGCCGUACAAUACGGACCGACGAACACCCCUAAUUGGAAGGAGGAGAAGACAUGGAAGUAGAACUUUUUUAGUUCCAAGGCUUGGCCUUAGUUUUGAUAUGUUCACAUACGUAUUUCUAGUGUAUUUCUGAGUAUAUAAUGGUUGCAUAGUCACAAAAUUGGAGGAUUUGGACGUUGUGUUGGAGGGAGCUAGUUGUUGCAAAGGGAAGUGGCACCUCUUGUAUAUUGGCUCUUAAUUAUGGAGAAAUUAAUUGAAUGGAGAUAAAUAUCAAUGACGAACAAUAACAAUGAAGACAGCAAAAUUGAGGUGAAUUAGUUUCUUAUAAUGAGUUCUUAACUUUCUUUUUUCAUCCACAAUAAUAUUAGUUAUUGCAUUACUUUAUUUUUUUUCUUUUAUCGAGGAGAUUUUAUAUUUUUCAGCCAUUUUAAUUAAUAAGCGAUUAAUCGGAGAUUAUUUAGGCGCAUGUUACCAAUGAUAAGGCCCUUAAUUAUUGAAAUGUUACAAGCUGUUGAUGCCGUUGAAAGGAGUUAAAAAGCUUGAACUCAAUCUUUUUCCCUAUAGUAAGAUUAGUUAUAAUUCUCUCUUCCUAGUUGCUUUCUCUUAUUUAUACAAAAUACAAUAUCGUUCUUUCCCCUAUUAACUUGAAAUCUUGAAUUAUUAAGGGAAAAGGAUAUCUAGAAUUUCCUCAAAUCAUUCUUACACUUGGAUUAUGUCAAUUCUGUUUUAGUAGUGGAGACAUCCACAUUUUACUGAUGCAAUUAUGAGAUCCAAGAAAAAAAGUAAGGCAUCACGGUACACAAAGUAUUAUGUAUUCACGUACAAUUCAGAGAAGAAUCGCAUCGCAAGUAUAUAUGAUGUAAACAACAUAACCUAAUGCAAGUAUUAAUAACUGCUUCAAUAGCUCGAAAAGACAAUUUUAUCAUUGCUUCAGAGCUCCCGAGAAAGCAAAAGAACAUAUCUUAUCAAAGUGUUGGCUGAAUUGAAAAUGACUAAAAAGUCACAUAGGCUCUGAAAUUGAUGUAUGAUCCGAAAAAGUAACCAUGGCCAACCACACCCUAUCUUUCUAAAAAAUUAAUACAAUUUCCUCACUUUAAUUCAUCUAACCCAAAAAGUCAAGAAAAUCCUGUGGCCGCCAAUUCCAAGUCAUAUUCAAAAACCCCACAAGAAGGGGAAAAAAAAUGAAAACAAAAUGCUGACACAAGAGUUAACAACUCAUAAAUUCUCCCCUAGAGAUUCCUAUCAAUUGAUUAUGUACAAACAGCAAACAGUGUCGUGGUGGUACUCUUUAAUCCUUAACCAGAAGUUUUAGGUUCGAGUUUUUAGUAUGAAAUCGUCUUUGUUAGAUAUCGAUUUAACUCCAACGUAAGACUUUUCGGUGCAAAUUCUAAUUUAGUUGUGCUCAAUACAGGUAUCGGACACCAAAUGAUGAACUAAAGAAAAUUAUAUACAAAGAAAAAUUGGGACCCUUGUGAUUGAUCUUUAUCAAAUUGCAAAUUUUCUUUGACUUUUGAUUCUUUCUUGAAUAAUAUAGGAAUAUUCUUUACUAAAAAUGCUAUAGUAAGUGUAAUAAUUGUAAUGAUAAUUGCCCACCAUGGUUGGUGGUAAUGUACAAAACUAAAAUAAUUAAAUGAGACAAUAAAAUAGUAGUGGUUGUAGAUGGUGAUAAUUUUGCUGCUGCGCCGCUCCCAAAUAUCAUUCCAAAGAAAUCACUAUCGUUGCCGCCGGUGGACCCGGCACCGCCACUCCCGCUAGCUCCGGUGGUGGUCCCUCCUCCGUAUGAUAUGCUAAUACUAUUAUCCCUGUUUAUUUACAAUAAUGCAAGAUAGUUAAACCUAUAUACUGAUAGUGUAAGUAAGUAUGAAGAAGAGAAAGAGGAGAACAAUAUGGACCAAUAAGGAGAUAGUGUAAGUAAUGUAAUACAUUCAAUGCAUUUUUAACAUAAUAUAGUUGAUAACCUAUCUUCUCACACCUCACAUGGCCUGAUCCCGAUCUUCCCUUUUUCCUUGCUUUAAUUUUUUUUAUUAAUUACAUAAAUUAGACAUUAGACAAAUAAUAAAUAAAAUAAAAAGAUUCUAGCCGCGUCCAACUUAGUUACAAAGUUGUUCCCCGUCAAGAACUUCAUUUUUUAAAAAUUUUGUGUUUAAUCAAAUAUUAAUAUUGUAAUAAAACAAAUCGAAGUGUGUGUGUAUACAAAAAUCAUAAACAAUCUUAAAUUUUUAUCUCAUCUAUUCCGAUUUAUAUGAACCUCGAUUUAAGUUUUCUAUGUAAGGGUGGACCCCUUCUUUGAGCAAUGAUAAGGCGGAUCCAACUUAUAUUUAACAGGUUUAAUAUUUUUCGAAAAUACAAUGUUUUCUUGCUAAAAGAUUUAAAAAUUAAUUCAUUAAAAUUAAGUCGCCUAAUUUCCCUCUAAAAUGCAAAUAGGCAAUGGUCACCAAGUAGUUGAGCUAUAUAAUUUUUUUUUUGGUUUUCUAUUCGGUGUCUAAUACUCAUAUUGGAGCGCCGACUGAAUCCAAAUUCACGGGAGAAAUUUCACAUUAUGGGAUUAAGCAUUUUUUAACAUAGCAGACUCAUAUCUAGAAUUCAAACCUGAAAAUUAAAGAUAAAAGAAUAUUUACGAUACUAGUGUAAUCCUUAUUGCGAACUAUAGAACUCUAUUCACAAAGGCCAAAGCAGUAUCUCACUAAAAGUGACUGCUUAAAUCUAUGAGAAGUGGGAAUAAGACAACUCAAGAUCGAGUACAAAGCUCUAUGUAUUAAUUAGAUUCUCAAUGCCCGUUUUAUUUUUUAUAUAGCCAUAACUUUGUACUUGUUCUGCCCUUUUCUAAAAAGUAUAUUUUUUUUUAUAAUCUUUAACAAAUCUACUCUACCUUCUUUUCUUUGGGCAGUGAAAAGAACAAAGAGAAGCAAGUGGGUUCAAUAGAGAAAAUAAAAGCAGAAAAUGUUUAAAAAUGAGAAAAGCCCUUCAUUUUCUUUUCUAAAAAUAACUAGUGGUUCCUUAGCCUCUUCACUACUAUUUUUUUCUUUCAAACUUGCUUUGUUUUUUCUUUCAGUCAUGGUUUAUCAAAAAUAACUUAUCUAUCUCGCAUAAGAUAGACUUAAGGUCUACAUACAUAUUACGGUCUCUAAACUCUACUUGUAAAAUUAUGAAUAUGUUGUUGUGAUCAGUGGCGAAGCUAUAAAAUAUUUCAAGGGUGUUCAAACUUAUACAAGAAAAAUAAAAAUUGUGGAGAGUGAAGCUCGAACCCGCGCCCAUGAGGCCCUUUUGACCACCCUUUGCCACUGAGCUAUGAAUCUUCAUUGUUGCAAGGGUGUUCAAUAUGUAUUACAUGCAUGUAAAUCCAAAAUUUUACCUAUAUACACGGUGUUAAUUUUUCGAUAUUUUUCGACGAAGGGUGGUCAGUUGACCACCCUUGCUACAUUGUAGCUUCGCCCCUGGUUGUGAUAAAUGCAUACACAUUACGCUCUCUAGACUCCACUUAUAAGAUUACAUUGAAUAUGUUAUUGUGAUAACUGCGUACACAUUAUGUUCUCUAAACUACACUCGUGAGAUUACACUGAAUAUAUUAUUGUGAUUGUUUUAACUAAUAUAUUCUGAGUCGAUGGUCUAUUGAAAACAACAUCUCUAUCCUCACAAGUCAUGGGUAAGGUCUGCGUACACACUACUCUCCUCGUACCCCACGGUGUGGGAUAAUAAUAGGUAUGUUGUUGUAUUAUAUUAACUAAGGUUUCGUUGGUUGAUAGUUUGAAAUAAUUAAUCUAAGCAUAUAAAAUAUUUGGUUAACUUAUUAUGUAGUAAUACUUGAUGCUAGUUGACAAUAUUAAAUAAUAUUCAUUUUAAAUUAUGAAAAGAGGAGUACCUCGGGGCACCAAAAACACCGGCGUUGAGGGUGAGUUGAUCAAUAAGAACAGCGGAUUUGGGCUCCACGCUCGAGGCCUUCGCGUAUUGGUUGCUCAGCCCUUCACCUGAUGGCACGAAAAAUGCUCCAUUUACCAUUACGUCCCCAUCACUUCUCCAGUUCCAGUCACUCCACUCACCCUCGUCUGUUUCCACGCGCUUUGUCACCUGUUCCCACACAAACACCUUUCCCUUAAUCAGUAUUUGAAGAUAUCAAUAUAAUCAUUUCAAGCAAACAUCAUUAUGACCAACUUUGCAUUUUCAAACAUUGAUUUAAAAUUAUCUUAGAAAAGGCCCAACCACAGCCAGAACAACAAUACAGUCAUAAAAUAUUCUAUACUCAUGCUGGUUCAGAAAAGAGUCGGACCUAAAUAAUCUAUUAUAGACAGUAUAUCCUAACACAAGCAUUAGAGGUUGUUUUCAUACCUCGAACCCGUAACCUAUAGGUCAAAUAAAGAUAACUUUACUGUUGAUUCAAAGCUCCCUUCAAUUAAAGCAAAAACAAUAAGGAAAGAGAUUUUGAUAAGUGUUCUUGUUUUUCUCUAUUAUGUUUGCUUUAUUAUUCGGAAACAGAGAACAAUAAUGUUAGCAAGCUUAAGCAGACAAAAUUUGAAAAGAAUAUGAUCAAUGAAAAUUUAUACUCCCUCCGUUCACUUUUUUCUUGGCACGUUUUAACUUUUCACGUCAUUUAAAAAUAAUAAAUGAAAUGCAUAAUUUACUAUGAUAUCCAUAUUAAUUGAUGCAUAUUUUAUUGGAUUUGAGAAAAUGAUUUGAUAUGAGUAAUAAAUAUUGUAGGUAUAACAGGAAAAAAAAUUGUAUUCUAUUGAUAUGCGUAAAUUGAUAAGUAAAAGUAAAAAUUUAUUUUUAGUAUACUUGCUAAGUAAAAGUGAACGGAGGGAGUACAAUCAUCCUAAUUUAUUUUAACUACAAUUGUUUUUGCUCCGGUUUUUCAGGUAAAAAAUAAGAAGUCUCUAAUACAUUGUAAAAUUUCCAGAAAAGACCAGGCACUAAACCGAAAAUCGUUGUUCUGAAAGGUCUUUUCAGGUGCAAAAAAAGAGAAUACCAAAAUCACUCUUAUUUAGUGGUUGCGCUAAAAAAUUUGUGGGACAUGGUCUAAAAAGUUAACAAGGAUUUUCCCAAACAUCAUUAAGCCAAUGAUUUUCUUCUUUUUCACUAGAGAAAAAAAGAAUGAAAAUAAUAAGAUUUAGAAAAUCUAAAUUAAAAGAGUUAAGAAAGAAAAUUACCUCCUUUGCAUUUGGAUCAACUGGCGCCAUAUAGCGAUUGCCCUGACUAUUAAUAGUAGGAUUAGCACUUCCUCCAAUUGCAUACAUUUGCCAUUCUGUAAAAUCAUUGUUCACUACAUGGAUAUACCCUCUUCUACACCUUGGCAUUCUUUGUACUAAUCCUACUCCAAAAUGAUUGAACGCUAUUGUCACCUAUUUUACCAUAAAUUACACAUUAAUCCCCAAAAGUUUCCAAUAUCAGCAAGAAAAAACUCUUAAAAAUGAAGGAAAGUAGUCAAACAAUAUUUUUCUACUAUACAAAAUAUCCUAGUUUUGUCAUUUGUUAUACUUUCGGCUUAUUCAUAUCCGUCGUUAGCAAGUCAUCUUAAUCUAAUAGAACAUCAGCAGGCAUCCUAACCGUCAUGGGCGGAUUUAGGCCCAAAUUAUAGGGCAUAUGAAUCCAUAAUUUUUUCGUCAAAUUAAGUAUUUUAUUAGAUAUUUCUUAGAAUUAAAUAUUAUUUGCCCGCCAUGCUCUAAGAAGGUUGAAUGAUAUACAUGGUUAAAUUUUGAAUUUUUACCCAAAGGAAGAGAGAUUAAUUCCCCCUUAAUAUUUUAUUGUUUCUCCUUAAUUUAGUGGUGCAUCAAUAUUAUAAAAGAUAUAAAUGAGACGAUUUAUUGGUGCACCCUGUAAAUUCAUCCCCACUAACCGUAAUCUAAAAGACUUUCGAAGAGGAUUAUAAAUUUAUGUGUAAAAAAUUAUUAAAAUUGCAGAAAAAAAUAGAUAUGAACCCAACAACAAACAACAACAUACCUAGUCUAUUCCAACAGGUAAGAAAGUAGAUAUAAACCCAUAAAUUUAAAAAUAUAAUGAGUUUGAACACAUAAAAGUUAAAUUCUGAAUCCGACUCUGGAAAUGACAUUUACUAAUGACAAAGAUAUGGAUAAUCCGAAGUAUAACUAGGAAUAAAAUUAAAAUAUUUCGUACUAUAAUAGAUAAAUGUCAAACCUUUUUCAAUAAAGAAAAUACAUCUAACCUGCAUUCCGGAGUCGGGCAAAUAUCUAUCAUCAUGUCCCAAGAGCAUAACUUCAUCAUGGUGAGUGAAAUAGUUGUUAGAUAUAGUAAUCGCAGUGGACCCCAUGAUAGCAUCAAUUAAGCCGUCGGUACAAUGCGACAAUGCACAAUGAUCAAUCCAAAUAUUCCGCGAACCAAAUAUAGAAAUUCCAUCACCGUCCGAUCUACCUCUAUGCCCAACAUGAGUCGGGGUCGAGCGUAUAUUAGUAUUUCCCGAAGGGCGACAAUUGUAAAUAUGCACAUUGUGUAUAAUAACGUUACUUAUAUACUGUAACGUUAUACACCCAUUGCCCGUAAUGUGUACUUUUGUACCACGACCGUCGAUUGUUUUGUAACUAUUUACGAUAAGUUCAUGUUUUAAUUUUAUGAACAUGUCGGACGAGAAAAUUAUCCAGAGCGGUUCGUCUUGGAUUACCGCGUGCCGGAGAGUCCCCGGCGUUGGGUUGGCAGUGUCUCUGUCGGAGGAAUCGGUGACAACAUAAAUCUUACCAUUUCUUCCUCCGAUUGCGCCUUGACCGAAGCCUAUGGCGCAAUCUGCUAGACGUUGACGAUUGCUGACCCAGUUUGGGUCGCAGCGCCAGCAAUCGUCUAUUGGGUUCCCUGUUUGACAUUGUGCAUUUAUGGUUGUGUCUAACAGUUGUCUUCUUGAUAUGGACUCAUUCACCCUCCUGUAACAAUGCAACAAUAAAAACAAUUACGAUAUAAAGUAAAUGUGCUAACAUGAUUAAAUCAUAAUCCGUCAUAACAAGAAAAAAGAAAAAAAUUGUAUGAAUAAUGCAGGUGGUGGUAGAAAAAGUAGGUGAAAGUUUUAGGUAUUUUGAGCUUUAAAAUUAGAAAAAAUCGGAGCUUUAUUGGGAAAAAAACAAUAUUUUCUUGAUUGAUUUUGGCAAAAGCAGAAUGUGUACACAAAAAGUACUUAACUCAAGAAAGGUUCAAAAGUUUAAUAUGAGCAAAACCCAGAUGGGUUUUGUUGAUUUUCUUAGUAAAACAGAGGAACCCAGAUGGGUUAUUCUUAAAAUAAAAAAAAUAAAAACCCCAAAUAGCCUCCCACCCUGUCGCUUAAACCAAAAAUAACCGAUAGAGGUAUAAUAUACUCUAUGCAUUAUUUGUAUAAUUAUGUAUCAUCAAUGUAUAAUGUAAAUAGAUGGCUAUAAAAAAGAAAACAGUGAAUAUGACUUGCUACUUGUAUAAAGAUCAAAUGAGCAAAAUGUAAGAAUGGGAAAACCCCAUAUGAGGAAUUUGAGUAUUAAUGCUAUGAAUAAAGUUAGAAUUGAAAUGUAAAUAAUACCUUUGUAAUUCUUGAACCACAGCUUCAGGGUAAGGGUGUUGAUAGGGGAGGGUGAGAUUAAGGGAAGUUGUAAUUAGUGGGAAAAAUGAGAUUAAGAAACAGAAUAAGAGAAUGCAAAUAGCAGAAAGCAUCUUUAGAAGUGUAAUAAAAAUGGUUGAAUGAAUUAAUAUUCCUUGUAGUUGUAGUAAUUGGUCUGUUUCUUCUGUAAAAGGAACUCUCUCAAAGGAGGGAAGAGAUGUCUUGCUCUUGAAAAUUUUGUAAAAAAUGUAAUGUUCCUUAUAUAAUAUAAGUAGUACUAGAAAACAAGAAUGGGUAUAAUAUUGGUUGAAAAUAUGAUUAAACAAGAAAUAAAAAAGAAUAUUGGAUUGGCUUUAAUAUUAGGGUUUUGGACUUAGGUUUUGUAGUAUAUUUUUGUUUGAAGAAGAAGGAAGAGAUUUUUGGUGUAUUAGUGGCUAUGAUGUUGAAAUAAGCCAAAACCCAAUUCCCACAUGAGAAUUGUGAGUUUGAGAGAAAGAGAGGCUCUUGUUAUUUUUUAGCUCCUUUUGCAGCCUCCUCGAGCCACUCACAUAAUUGGCUUGUUUUGUAAUUAUUCUAAUAUAAGAUCCAUAUUUGAAUAUAUAUUAAAUUGAGAAGAAAACUUGAGAUUUUUUAUUUCUAACAAGAAAGUGGCUUAUCCAAAAUGUAUCAGCAGCUUCCUGUGGGGCUGUGGGGAAAGGAACAUAGGAGGUGGGAUUUGGCUACUUUAGGGGCUGGAGAUUCUUUUUUGAAAAGGAGAAAGAUCGAAACCAAAGGGUGAUUUGACACAUUUGUAAACAAUUCUUUAUUCAACACAUUUUUUAAUGAAUAAUAUAGAUAGAUAAUUAUUUUUUUAAAAUUCAUUUGUCACCAUUAAUCUCAGCAUAACUAAUCCUAGAAUAACUUGUUUUCAAACCAAACGACCUCUAAAAAGUGUGAUGAGAUGAAUGAAUUUUUUUCACCUUUAAUUAAAAGUUUCUAGUUCGAGCUUUGAGAAUAAUUUUUUUGAUAGGAAUUGCUUCAUUUUUAUAUGCGAUGAUAUUCCGAAUUAGCAAUGCUACUGAAUUUUAAAUAUAAAAUGGAUAGGUUGAAAAAAAAAAGAAAGAUUUGUGAUUUGUGAAGGUUAAGAUUUGUACUAAACUAAAUUAACUAUAUAGCCUUUUGAAGGCCAUAACUGCAAUAAUAAGAUGGUAGAUCUCUUGCCUUUUUCAUAUUUUUUUUUAUCAUUACACCAAAAUAAUAAACAUUAAAAUGGUGAUUAGUAAUUUUGUUUUACUCUGUUCUUUCGUUUUAGACUUAAAUAUAGGCUAGUAUUUCUUGAAGUAAUAGUGACAGAAAGUUUUGGAAAGAUGGAAUCCUUUUUGUUAAUUAUAUGCCUCAAAUUGUAAUUUCAAGUUAUUAUUAUAUAGAACUACCUAUAAUCAGGGUCGGAUCUAGCUUGAAAGAUGGCGCUUCAAAUGAAUUCCCUUUUGUUAAAAUUUUUUAUUUUGGAAGAAAAAAUCGAAUUCUUUUUUUAUUAUAUAUAAGCUUUGAAUCCUUUUUGACGUAAGGAAAAAUUCUAGUAAAACAAAAAAAGGAGUUUCAGAAAUCUUUAGGUCAAAGGAUCAAACCCUGUAAUAUUUUAUAUGAUUUUAUUGCUCUGCCACUGCCUGUAAUUAUUUUUUAACUAGCGAAAUAUAAAACAAUUCCUCAAUUAAGACUGGAACCUAAGAUUUCAUAUCAAUUGAGACUAUAAUAAAAUGUCAACUAUUAUUGGAUUAAAAGGAUUCUCUCUACUCGGACUUGAAUAAAGACCUUUUAUCAGGUUACUACACAAGACCUUACGGCAUACUCUAACUAGAUAAUAUAUAUGGAGCAUAUAUACUAUAAAAAAAAAAGUUAAAUCUUUCAAAAUACUUAUCUGUACUCGAUGAUUAACCAAGUUAUAUUGGUGAUUGACGUUGCAAUAUAUGGCGAGUGGUGAUUAUAGUGGCAAAGUAAUGAAAAAAAUAUCACUUUCACAUAAAUCUUCAUGAAUAACGUUUUAAUGAUUUUAAGACUUUAUAUAAAAUUUAAAUAAAUAGACCGAAACAAAAGAAAUAAGUGGUUGUAAAUAAAAAAAUUAAAUAUACUUCAGAGGCUGAAAUUUGAAAAUUUAGAAUUCAAGUUCCCAUCCCAUCAAGUGAAAAUAACAUGUCUUGGUAGAAACAUGUUUGUUAGAAAAUACAUUAGGUUCAUAGAGUUGAAAAAAAAGAUCCUAAAGCUAUGAAACUUUACCUUCUAUAGAAAUAUCAUUAAAUUGAACAAAAGAAAACAUAAAUAAUGAUUCAAAAUUUUGUAUUAAUUUGCCAACCACCACUACAAUUAUAGAUGUUUCCAUUGUCGUCUAGGCAAAGCAUGUCAAGUUCCAAAACCAAGCAAACAUCAUGGAAUUGAAGACCUUUGCAUGCUAAAGUGUAAGGGUGUAAAUGGAUAUUCGAAAACCGACUAAACCGAUCGAAUCGUAUCGUAUCGAACCGAUUUUAGGUUUUUAUAUAAAUCUAUAACCGCAUCGAUAAUUAGGGUAGGUUUUUUAUUUUAUAAAAAUAAAUCGAAAAAAUACUGAACCGUACCGAAUAAAUUUUACAUGUGAAAACAUAUUUAUCUAGUAAGUUUAAAAAGAAUAAUGCAUUAAAUUUUUCUUUGGGCCUUGGAAUUAUGCAAACUAUUACAAGCCAACAAGUAAUUAAACUCAAAAUACUAAUUCCUAAAACCUAUUAUGCUACAUCUACUUAAACUAAGUUAUUUUAAAUAUCUUUAUUAGCAAGACACAAAGUAUUCUAGCGAUAAUGAGCAGCAAACUACAAUGUAUUGAAUAUGUUUCCUUUCAUAUAAUUUAGAUUUAUCUUUUUGAAUAUUUAAUCUUCUAUAGACUUUAUUCUUGAUGAGUCCCAGCUUGGUUAAUAUCUUUCCACUCGUGUGAUUUAUAUUUUCUUUGCCUUUGCUUGGUUUUUUUUACGUUGUUGUAGAAUAGUUGAUGGAUCUACACUCUAGCCAUCUUUCAUUUUUUUUAAUUCAUCACCCUUUAAACAGUAAAAAUAUCUAGAGAAUUUUGCUAAGUCAUAUAAAAAGAACGUAUGUUAUUGCAUUCUACUUCUACUGGUGAAUUUUAUAUGAUAUUUUAAAAAAUACCGAAAAUUAAUCGAACAGUACCGAUACCGAAGAGAAACCGACAUAAUUGGGACGGUUUCGAAAAGUCUAAUUCUAGUUAUGCAUAAUAGAAUAACCGAAAAAUUGGUAUGGUACAAAUUUUAUAUAAUAACCGACCGAACCGAACCAUUGACACCCCUACUAAUUAAAGUGUUAUGAUUGAUUUAAUUACAAAUAUAUGAUACUUAACUAAAAAAAAGUUUAAUUUCCUGAAAAAAUAUAAAUAUCCCCAAAAAAUCUAUCCAUGCUAGUUGAGAAAAAAUUAGUUAGCAAGAUGCCCAUGAAUUAUUUAGCUCAAGAAUAUAAAGUUUUUUCUGUUUUUCUUUCAUGUCUAAACAAAAUGCUAUUUGGAUAGGAUUUCCUAUGACAAUUUUUCUCAAGAUUAGUAGUUGAAAUGAAUGAGGUAGGUACAAUAUCAAAUUUCAAAAAUCAGUGAAUAAUACGUGGGGGAAUAUAAUAUAUAAUUCAUCCCACCAAUCUCAUUAUUGAGCAAAAAUAUAAUAGAAGUGGUUAUUAUGUUAAUUAUCAUAAAGAAUUGCAUUUCAUUUAUUUAGCCCUUCCAAAUUGGUCUUUAUCACAUUAGCACUUAGAUUCUGGACAUCAAGCAAAAAAUCAAAUGGCAUAGCGCUAAAUAGUACUAGCUAGGUUAAUAGUUGGUUGCUAGAUGAGGAAUGCACACCAAAAAUAAAAUAAAUAAAUUAUUCUAUGGGAAUUAAGUUAAUCGAAGACCUUGCGUAAAUUUUCGAUGUGGUCGGUUCUUUCUUUUGAAAAGAGGAACUAGCACUAUAAUUCCGAGUCACCUAUCCAGUAUGUGAGUGAGCCCGCUUAUAAAUAGGAAGAUGAGGAGAUAAGGGGCGAUAGCGAAGGCUCAAAAAAAAGAUUGAAUGAGGUUGUAUAAUUUGAAAAGAUGCUAUUAGAGAAGAAGACAUAAAAUAAAAAAUAAAAAAUUUCUGUGUGUGUGAGAGAGAGAAACCAUAUUUCUAUAUAUGGCAUUAUGACAAUGAACAUAUUCUACAGCGUAAUGAACAAUACAUCAUCAAAGAAACAUAUAAUAAUGAUUAAUGAAGCCAGUUUAGUUUUGUUCAAGAGCAAUAAGUAAAAAUAGAGAGGAGAAAGAAUAAUUUGUCGGGCGAAAACGGUCCAAAGAUAUUCUUAUUAUGGCAUGAUAUUGUUUUGGAUCAAACCGGCAUGGUUUUCCCAAAAGACCUCGUACCAUUAAGAGUAUCAAAUUUCUUAUUUUUUUUUCCUACUUUUUAUGUGGGACUUUGUUCAACACGCCCCAUCCACAUGAUACGUCACCAUUCACGGGCUAAUUUGAAUAUUAACCGUGUGUAACCCACAUAAUCCGAGUAUUUAUGGUCACCAAAACCCAGAGAAGAGGUUGUGUAGGCGUCUUUGAAGUUAUGGGUAACGAUAGUAAAACGGCCCAUAGACGGGCAAAGGCAUUAAACCGGUCGUACGCCAUUACUCUGCUACCUCCAUACUCGUUCCACUAAACUACUUGCUGUGAUAGCAGUUGUCGGGCGAAAAUGAUCCAAAAAUAUUCUUAACAUAGUGUGAUAUUGUCCGCUUUGACCCAAACUCGCACAAUUUUUUUUAAAAUGCCGCACACCAUUAAGAGUAUCCAAUAUCCUUAUAAUUAAUCUUUUUUGUGUUUUCUACGUGGGACUUUAUUCACGCAAUUAGGAAAAAAAAGGUUAAAAGGUCGUAAAUGAAGUUCAAAUAAUGCGAACGAAAUACUAUAUAAUUGCUAGAUUUGGGAGUGACGUAAUAGGAAAAUGGAUCCAUUAAUUGAUGCUUUCUUCAAAAAUAGGUUAAGAAAAUAUUAAAAUAUAUUUUAUAACGAAGGAAAAUAUUGCAACAAAAAAAAAAAACUUUUAUUUAGUCAAAAAGACAUCAUCGUCAUGAAGUCGAAACAAGAAUGUAAGAGGAUAACAUCAAAGAUGAGUCAGCAUUUGUGUAAUUCUCCACCGCCCUAUUCUUGGUUCUAUAUAUUGGAGUUAUUACACUUUUUAAAGUAGAAAAUGAUUUCUUAACUCACUUUCUUCUUUUUCUUUUUCUUUUAUUUUUUCUUUUUUGGAUUUUCCACCCCCGAUGUUUAGUAUUUAUAUUAGCGCUCGACAAAAUCUUGAUUCGCAUACAUUAAGGAAUAAAACUCUCCCUUAUAAAGGUAACUCUAUAUUCAAUACUCGAAUUCAAAACCUUUUACUUUUUCUUAUUUUAUUUAUGAAGUAUACUAAUCGUCAUAUAUAUAUAUAUAUAUAUAGUUAAUCCAUGAACUUAAAAAAUUAAUAAAAGAUGUGUUAUUAUUGGAUUAAUGUGAAAAUUUAAUUGUCAUAAAAGAGAUUUUGAGAUAAUUAACAUGGUAAUUAAUAGUCAAAGUAUAAAAUGGCAUUAAAAUUAAAAUUUAUACGCGUGAAAAAAUAUGAAAGAAACCUCGAUGCAUGAAAAAAUGCAAAGGACAAGUACUUUUCGUGAAUUUCAUGAAAUGGUUAGAAUUUUGGUGAAAAGAAAGGAAAAGUAUAAUUUAGCUCCCAUUGCUUUCAAAAUCAAACAAGUUGAUUACUUUUUCAUUAUCUUCUUAUUAAUAUGCUCGACGGUGGCUUGACUUUUUUGCUUACCUUUUCUUUUCUCUUUUCUUUUGUAUUUCGCAAAUAGUGCAACAACAACGACCCAGUAUAAUUCCACUAGUAGGAUCUGGGGAGGGUAGUGUGUACGCAUAUCUUACCCUUACCCUGGGAUAGAAAGGUUGUUUCCGAUAGACCCUCGGCUCCCUCCCUCCAAAAACUCCCCACCUUGCUCUUGGGGUGACUCGAACUCACAACUUCUUGGUUCGCAAAUAGUGCAGCUUGAGUUAUAUUUGUUUUUUUAAGUAUAAUCGUCAAAUAUUCGAAGUUACUUGCUCGAUUGAUUAAUUCGAGUUUAUACUGCAUAUUUAAUAAAUAGAAAAGUGCUCUCUAUAAAAAAAACAUUUUUAAGACUAAACUCUAAAAUCUCCAAUAAUCUUUUUUUAUUACCCAACACCACUUUGUUAAAACAAUUCAUAAUUAUAUUUUAAAAUAAUAUUCUUUUCAAUUCCAUUUUAGGUGGCAUAUAUUUCCUGAUUAGCUCGUUUAAGAAAAUGACACUUUUUAUAUUAAAAAAUAAUUUAUUUAAAAUUUUUAUUUUACACUUAAAUUAUUUAUUUUUAUAGCCACAUAAAUCUCAAACAUUUUUAAGGUUAUAAGUUCCGAACAUCUUUUUUCUUUUCUAAACUCCAUUUUCAUUUAAACUAAAUAACAAAAAGAAACGGCAGGAGUACAUUUAAGAAAAUAAUAUCCAUAUAUAUAAUCGAUCCAUACAACUUGAAAAUAAUAUAAAAUAACUAUCAAUUUGAGACCAGAAGUAAAAGUGUAAAACCUUAGAACUAUACUACAACACUAUCAAACUUACAUACGUACAAGUUAUCAAUUGUUCUAAUUAACUGACGCAACUUACAUAAAAUCUUGCGUACAAAAUUAAUUUUGCUCGUAAAUAAGUUAAAGAUUUAUCUAUCUCUACGGGAUUAAAUCCCAAGUUAUUGCGAAGUAAUUGAUAGCGUUUUUUUCUCCUCCUUUUAUUUAUAUUUAUUCUGACUCUUUUUUACACACUAUUCUAAAUCCUUGUUGCAUUUUUUUUAGAGCUUUUACAUUGCUUUACUUUGGAAAACCACCAUUUUUCUUGUUUUACAACCAACUAAUGGUAUGGGAUCCAUAUCAGCAAGUAUAGAAAAUUUCAGUUUAAAGACAAACAUGUAUUCAUGUUACCACAUGACUAAAGGCUAAAGUAAAAUGUGGCUGUUUUUGCAGCUUUUUACAUAAAGGAAAUAUUCAAAGAAAAUGCUUUGUAAAUCUUAAAGUUUAUAUUCUGUAUCAAUAUUUAUCCUCAAAAAAACAACUGUUAUGUCGAAUUAUAGUUGAAAUGUUUUUGCUACAUGCUAAGGUAAAAAUAAGCAUGUGCUUAAAAAAGUGUCGGCCUCAUUUGUCUGCACUUAAUGGAGGUCUGAAUUUUAAUCAUUCAGAUCUCAGCUAUUAAGUGUGUUUGUUUUCAAAGUCUGAAUCUUAAUUAUUCAGAUCUUAUUCAUUAGGUGUAUUUAUUUUAUUACUUCACAAUCACUUAAUGAGUCUGAAUAGAACUGUAUGAUUAAGAUCUAUAACAAAGACUUAAUUUUAUUAAGAUGAUAUCAUAUACAUUCAUUACUAACUGCUCUCACCGCCUAUCAUUAUCAAGUACCACCACCACCAUCCUCAACCAUAACUGUCACCAUUACCACCACCCACCAUCCCAACCACCACCAUCAUCAACCACAACUACACACUUACCCACCUCAACUACUAAAACCAACCACCCAUUACCAUCAACAACCAUCGCCAGCACUGUCCACCAUUAUAAACUAGCUACCACCACCCAUUAUCACCUUCCUCAAUCACAACCACCACCACCCAUUAUCACCUUUCUCAACCACCACCACCACCCACCACCCACCACCACCAUCCUCAACCAUAAUCGUUGCCAAUCNNNNNNNNNNNNNNNNNNNNNNNNNAUAUAUAUAUAUAUAUAUAUAUAUAUAUAUAUAUAGACAGAUAUUAGAUUAAUUAGUAUUUUACUUAAAAUUUAUAUUUUUUAAUUAUUAAAUAAAGAUAAAUUUUAUAUAUUCAGAUGUUAAAAAAACAAACAGUAUUAAUCAUUUAGUAUUCAGAUCUUAGUACACAGCUUAAUAUUCAGAUAUGUAUUCAGAUUGAGAUGUCUUAAUCUUAAUAUAAAUCUUAAUAUUCAGACAUAUAUUCAGAUUCAAACGUUUUAAUCUUUAAAAAAACAAAUGAGGCCAAAGCCUCUCUAAUUUUUAGGAUUGUUUGGUUACAAAGAGUAACAAAAUUAUUCUAGUAUAAAUUCGGUAAUAUUUUACGCCACGUUUAAUUGGUAUUCGGUUUCUCAAAUUAGAAAUAUUAAGUACAAUAAAAAAAAUUCAAUGAACAAAGUUACUAAUACUAUACCUUUGCCGGUGGAAAGUAGCACGUACACUGUUAAGUAAGCGUACAUGCAUGGAAGUUGCCCGAUACCACGAUUAUAAUAAAGAAAACUUAUUAUUGAUCACCAAAGUCUCAACAACAUAUAUAUAUCCAUAUUUUUUUGCUGUGCAAUAUACAUAUUCUGUAUAUAUCAAUUGGUUGUUUAAGAAACCGGCCGAAGUAUGGUGUGGGUAUUAUUUAAACUAUGGUUCAGUCUGACAAAAAAAUUAUGCUAGUACGUAAUACAGUAAAACAAUCUGCACAUGCAGUGUAUGCAACUAUAGUAUAUAAUAGUAGUAUUUGUUUUUCAUUAAAAUCUCAACUUUGCAGAAUAUAAUAGAGAUCCUUUUUGUCACCGAGUUCAUUGUAGGUCUAGGUUUGUAAAUGAUCCAGGGUCAUCCUUUUUUGUCUGCCUAACUUGUUUUCUAUUCUUUCGACAACAAUAACAAUAAAUUCAGUAUAAUUCUACAAGACUAUUUUUCUUUUUUCAAAAAAAAAAUCACUCAUUUUUAUCUAUUGGGGGUGACGGUUGGUUUGGGGUGAAUAGAGAUUAAGUCUGUAAUUUCCUAAUAUCAGUAUGUGGUGUUUAGCAUAUAUAAUGUAUUAGCUAACUUUAUCAAUUCGACGAUGGAAUAGAUAGAAUCACUCUACUCUUAAUUUGAGAUCUUAGUUUCGAAGCCUAAAAGUGAAAAAAAAUCAUGAUAGGAAACACAUUCCUUUUUAAUAUGCCUUACACGACUCAAAUUCGAAUUACCCAGGAACCUAAUGUAGAUAUCGGAAAUUGCGUGAGAAAAUAAUUUUUUUUAUCUUACAAUCAAUUAACUCACAUGUAUUUACAAGAGGGGUUGAAAUGGUAGGUAUGAUAAGUCAUAUUUUUUGGUAUGUUAUUUAAAUACCAGCAAUACAUGAUUGAGAGCUUUCGUCAUAGAGAAUCUAGAAGGAAAUGUAUUAUUAUUUCAUUGUAACCAAUUAAAUGAUUAAGACAUUAUAACAGAAAUACAGAAUGGUAUUAGGCAAUUUUCAUUAACAAAAUUUCAUAUAAUUUAGUUAGUCCCAACAAAUUGGUUCGUAUCAUAUAAUAAUAAAACAAAUGGAGGUUGUAAUUUGUAAAGAAUCGAACUUCUGACCUACUCUGGGAUAAAAAGAAUAAAAAAACUGAAUAAUCCAACAAGCUAGGGUUAACUAAUGUCAAAUGUGAACUUAAAAUCUGAAAAGAUUUAUUUCAGAAUAAUAUAGGCAAUCCUAAUGUUAGUAAAGAUUACUGAUGCACUCAGAGGAUUAAAAAUAUUGUACUGGAAUUAUACCUCCGAAGGCAAAAUGAAUUCAAGUGACACGGAGAUUUAGAAAGACUGAAUAACUACCCUAUCUAGUUCUGAAUUACUCCUCUUAUCCUAUUUGCAACCUCCGGGCAUUGCUAGUUUAUAUUUUGAUGAAAAUUUUGACGAUCAUCAGAUUUUACGGUCACAAUGCUGAAAAUUUUAGCAGCGUGCUUCAAAAUUCUGGUGCAUGGCUAUUUUCCCAAAAUAUGAUAAAAAAAUUUAAAAUGGUGAAAUUAAGGGUUGUUUGGUAUGACGAAAAAUAUUUUCCCAUUUUCUACUAUUUGAUUGCACAAAAUAGUUUGAAAAAUAUUUUCAUAGUGUCACACCCCUUUUUUACCUCACUAACCCCUCUUUAAAAGAGAUAAAAAGAUUGGUAAAGCUAGAAAGGGUUUCAAUUUGAAAGUGACAAAAAUUAUGUUUCAAAGGAUUUUUAGAGUCGCCACCUGACAUUUGGUUUUGGUGUGGCAGGUCACCGUUUUUAAGAAAUGAUUUUUUCCUUUAAAACACAUUUAGACUCUAAAACAUAGUCUGCACCAGAAAUUCUAAGGGGUUCAUUUGACUCGGGGAGAAAGUGCUAGGCAUUUUCCGAGUCCCCGUAACUAGUACGGUUGCGUACAUGAUCAAGUUGGCUUUUGAAAAUACUCAAAUUGAGGUUAAAACACACAAAAAGAAGUCAGAGGUUGUCCCUACCCAAAUAAAAGAAAAAGAAAAGAAAAGACAAGAAAAGUUCUAAACUAACCUACACUAUGUUUCCUCCGCAAUGCUCAUCACGACUUCCAAAAUAUUUACAAGUUCUUCGAGGCAUUCCCCGGAUGAUAAAAUUGACUAAAGGACAACCUCUCGCCUCAAAGGAAACUAAAACAUAAACGCCCUAGAGGUUGCCUACCCAAAUGUGGUCGGCUUAAGCAUGCUCUACUAGCGAAUAAUAUAACAAAUUGAAUAAAUAAAUAAAAGAAAAAUUCUAAAUCAUACCUAUAUUCUCUUUGAGUUUUUUUUACACGGUUGAUCCUUUCUUAAAAAUUAUUUUCAUAAAUAAAACUACUUUUUGUUUAUUCCAAAAAAGCAAAUUCUUUUACAUUUUUAGCAGUAUUAAAAUAUUAUGAGAUUGAUUAAAACAUUAGCAUGUCCACAAAAUCAUGGAUUAGUUAAAAAGAACAUUUGACACACUAAUUAAUAGAUUUUAUACCCUAUUAACCUAUUAUCCUCUCUCCCCUCAAAUUUCUCGUAUCCCCUACACCCUCUGUUUUAAAAGGCGUUUCUGGGGCGAGCCUCGGGGCGAGGCGUACCAAAAAUGUCCCGAGGCGAUGGUGUGGGGCGAAGGUCUCAAGAGGCGUACGCCCCGCAAUUUGGGGCGUACGCCCGGGUGUACAGGGCGCGUUUUUUAGUAAGGAGUAAGCCCCAGAGACUUUUUCAAAUUAAAACAAAAUUUGUUGAAUUAAUCCUUCAUAUAAUUCCCAAAAUUCUCAAAAGUCAGUUUGGUAAUUACUCAAAAGGUUUAAAAAGAAACUCAAAAGUAUUAAAUUUAAAAGUAAAGACCUUUUUUUAUUGAUUUAAGCCCUAAUUCAUGGUUUUCUCAAAUUUUUAUCUUGUCCGCUAAUCUGCUAAUAUAUCCCAAAAGCAACGAAUGUUUAAUUUUUUUUACAAAUAUAAAGAGAACUACAUUUUUCUUCAUAACAGCAAAUUCAAAGUUCAAAUUGCAAGUUAAUCAUCAUUUUUGUUCCUCCAUAUAGAAAACUUUAUUCUUUUAGACUCAAAUUAAUUGUGCUUGUAAGUAACGUAUAAUAGAUUGUUUUGAUUAGUUUUUUGUGGGGAUAGAGCACACAUAUAUAUAGUUUUCUUCNNNNNNNNNNNNNNNNNNNNNNNNNNNNNNNNNNNNNNNNNNNNNNNNNNNNNNNNNNNNNNNNNNNNNNNNNNNNNNNNNNNNNNNNNNNNNNNNNNNNNNNNNNNNNNNNNNNNNNNNNNNNNNNNNNNNNNNNNNNNNNNNNNNNNNNNNNNNNNNNNNNNNNNNNNNNNNNNNNNNNNNNNNNNNNNNNNNNNNNNNNNNNNNNNNNNNNNNNNNNNNNNNNNNNNNNNNNNNNNNNNNNNNNNNNNNNNNNNNNNNNNNNNNNNNNNNNNNNNNNNNNNNNNNNNNNNNNNNNNNNNNNNNNNNNNNNNNNNNNNNNNNNNNNNNNNNNNNNNNNNNNNNNNNNNNNNNNNNNNNNNNNNNNNNNNNNNNNNNNNNNNNNNNNNNNNNNNNNNNNNNNNNNNNNNNNNNNNNNNNNNNNNNNNNNNNNNNNNNNNNNNNNNNNNNNNNNNNNNNNNNNNNNNNNNNNNNNNNNNNNNNNNNNNNNNNNNNNNNNNNNNNNNNNNNNNNNNNNNNNNNNNNNNNNNNNNNNNNNNNNNNNNNNNNNNNNNNNNNNNNNNNNNNNNNNNNNNNNNNNNNNNNNNNNNNNNNNNNNNNNNNNNNNNNNNNNNNNNNNNNNNNNNNNNNNNNNNNNNNNNNNNNNNNNNNNCUGCCAUUGGAUAUAAAUAUCAUUAUCCUGCUAGGAUUUUGUAUUUAGUUUUGAAAGCCUGGACAAUUUUGAAACUAUACCUUCUUAUUUUAACUUUUUAUUUCAGGUAUUUGACCAAGCCCAAUUCCUAAAGCAUUGAGACAAAUUAAUUACUAAUGGGCUUUGGUCUUAUCCCGAUCCCGCGACACCAACAUAACAAUCAGUCAAACAAUUUCAACACAAACCAAAUAAGUAAACAUUAGCAAUUAAGGACAAGAAAUAAAGAAAGAGCUAAUCAAUUAAAUCAGGAAGAAAGAAAGGAAAAGAAAAUGGAUCCAAGCACGGUAGGAGCAUUUACUAACCCAUUCACACAUCCAAGUCUAUUCCUCAAACUAAAAGCUCAGCAAUCUGCAUAUUAACCCCAAUUAUCGGCUAUGUACAUUAUUAUGAAAAUCAGAAAAAGUAAUUACUGGAAUGCUUAAUUAAUUUAAUGUUGUAUGAGUUUUCACGACAAAUACCAAGUUAGUAACUACAGAGAUGCUCUGUUUGCCACAGGCAGAUUCAAACUCCAGAAAAUGAACUAAAUACACAGCUAAAUCGACUCCAUUUGUGUUCUAGUUUAGCGAGAAGGAUUAUCCCCAAGAAAUUAUCAUCACACAAAAACUAAUUAAUCUCCCGAAAACAUACAGACGGAACCAAGACUAUGAGACUAAACCCAAAUCACUUUACCAUUCAAGCAAUUGAAAGCUAAAACAAAGUUGCUGAUUCACAACUAACAUAGACUCCUUAAAUUCCACACAUAAUGGCAUGCUCUAAUGGAUAUGUCCAGUUAAACUAAUUAAGAUAGUUGGAUAUAACCGGAAUCACUGAUUAACAUUAUUAUGAAUCCAGUUUGAACUUGAGAUGCACAAGAAAUUCUUCAAACAACAGAAAAUCAACUCAAUAAUACCAUAUUUCGCCUAUCAAUCACAGAGCUGAUCAGAAGUUCAGUCAUUCAUGUAAAAGUCGAGCAAAUAUGAACUUAAAUGACGUUUCAAACACAUGAAGAAAUCAAACACCUUAAUUUAUUAAAAACAAAAAUUCAAAAACUGAUAAUACCUCGAUCACAGUCUGCAUUCACUAUCACUCACUUAGGAAUGACAUAUAAUUUAAACCCCUAUAUCCUAAGCUCCAACCGCACUUGGAUCCACUCAUACAUAAACAGAGCAAGAUAAGAUGUGAACCUGAAUGAGAGCUUUCGAUUAAUCUGCUAGUAGGCGAUUACAAGAUAGUCCGGCGACAAACUCGUCCACAAAAUUGAAACGACAGCAAGCUAAUCAGGAACGACCAACUUGAACCUCGGACUUAACAACCUCGACUGGAAAAUGAAUUUACGGACGCGAACUCGAAUCGAUCUCAGCUCAAUCGAACUCCAUAUUUGAGACUCAAAAUCAAAAGAAGAAAUUGGAAUUAUUUUUUUUUAUUUUUUAUUUUUGAAAUUCAAAUGCUAAUUAACUCAAAAUAGAAAUAUUUUCCUUUGUUUUGUAUAUCCCUUCUUCUGAGAUGUUCAAAAAACAGAAAAAUCAGGUGAGAAAUUGAAGAACUUCUUUUCUGAAACCUAGCUUUCCCCCUAAUGUUUUUUCCUGAAAAUCUCUUCAAUUCUCCCAACUCCCUCUAAAAUCUGAAAAAUGAGAAUAUAUAGCUCUCCAGAAGCUUCUCAUACUUCCUCCCCAAGAAAAUUCCGAAUUCUUCUCUAAAAUCCCCCAAAAUCUUCAAAAUCCGAAAUUCCUUAUGAAUGGACCGAUUCUAGACAAGUGAAAACCUAGGAUCAAAAUAUCUUGAUCCUAUGGCUCCCAUUUUUUCAAUAUUUGUCCAACAUAGAAUAAGAAAUGCGGUAAUCACGUGGAGGAAUAUUCUUAUGUCAGAGGUCGUUAGGCUACGUGGCAGAAAGAGACGAGGGGGACCACGUGGGGCGAGUGGGUGAGUUAACUCGCCUGAUUCCGGCGAGUUAACCUAGUGAGGGAGGCGGCAGUGGGGUGUGAAGAAGAGGGUGCGACUGGUUUGGUCUAGAGUAUUGGCCAUUGGAUUGGAAGAAG